rnacentral:lncRNA from 1 species
UUUAUCAAGUGAUUUACUCAUUUGGGGUUUACAUGAGGGGUUUUGAUAAGAGCUAAACUAAAUUGCAUUGUUUUAAAGAUAAAUGCAUCAUGAUUUUCUUUAAACCUUCCUUAUUGUUUGCUUGUUCCCUUCCUUGUUCACUCACUGGGUUUAUACUCACCGCUUUCAACUUCAUGUUUUCAGAUCAAGAGGUAGUUGGGAACUAGGCCGAGGUGUCUUCGUAUAUUCGACCCUUUGUCGGUGUCUCAACCUUCAGUAGCUGUACAUUCGUCUGAGUCUCUCUGCUGGAAAUCGAGUCUUCUUUUUGACAUGUAUAAACAAACCUGAUGUAAAUUGUUAAGAUACAUGUUUAAGAUAAUGUAUGUAUAUAUUUGGAUUGGUAUGCCCUUAAAAGUUGGAAAUGGUUAGCAUUAUUUUGGUUUGAAAUCAUGAAAUGUGACUUUAGUAACUUUGAUGGAAUAAUGAUUGGGAUAAUAUAGAUAGGCUUGCUUAGGCUUGGUGGGCUAUGUCCAUUGGGCCCUUGCGUCGGUCAUGGCCUGGGAUUUGGGUCGUGAUAGUGUUGGUAUCAAAGCAAAAGGUUGUAACCCAAUCCCUAGGAACUCUCGUGUGUGAAUAGUAGCGAAGCAUGACUCUCCGCCCAAGGGCUUGUAGAGAAGGUAGUCCCUUACGAAUGCUUUGAUAGGUACCCUUUGUUGCCACCGUUGAAGGAGGAAAAGGCUGCUUGUAGAGAUGGUCGUCCCUUACGAGUGGAGCCACCCCUAGUGAUAGUGUUGGUAUCAAAGCCCUAGGUUGUCUAGGUCCUAGGACUUCCUUUGUUGGUCCAACGGAGUAUCGGGUCUUUAUGUGGGAACUUCAGUUGUGAAGUGUGAAAUGCGACACAUUUUACAACCAAGGGACCACAUAGAUUCCCUAUCUUAGAAACCACCUUUUCCUUUAUAUAUGAUUAUAGAAAAUGUGUUUAAUAAUAGGUGUUGCUCUUAUCUAGGCAAGAAUGCCACCUAAGACACGAGCUACCUUAAAACGGAUAGGGGAGCAAGAUGCCCCUAAUGAGAUGACAGAUAUGCCACAAGUAUCCACCUUUAAGGGUCGAGGUAGACGUGGCAAGGCCACUAGGUCAGUGACAGAACGUGGGAGAGGAAGGAGAAAAAGAAAAAGUGUUGGAAAUUUGAAGAACAUCCUAGAAACUUAGAUUUUUAUGGCUUAAGUUUAUCCAUUUCUAGCAAAAUUACCAAAAUGCCCUUAACUAUGUCAUUUUGCUUGUCCAUUGCCUUUAUACAAUCCUUUUACUUCUUUGACACUGAGACAAGGUCUAUAAAGGUUUAGAAAUGCUCGGGUUCAUGAAAACUUAAAAAUUUGAACUCGAGAUGUAAAAUGGUCGUUUUACCCUUUUUGUUUUCUUCCAUUUUAAUUUAGUCCUCCCAACACUCAUUUAACUCUAAUUUCCUUCUAUUACCUUCUUCUACACAUGUACAAACAAAGUAUGAAGUUUGUACUCUGACGCGGUGUCCCCAUAAUAUUUAAAAUAUUUAUUUACCCGCGCUAUCUUUACUUAAUAAAGACAUACGGCCCCAUUAACAGCAUUUUUCUCCAAAAUUCUCUCAUUCUUCUUCUCCCCCACUUAGAUUGACCAUAUACUCCUUUUUCAUGAAAAAUUUUGACACUGAAUAAAAUAUUAAUAUUUUAAUAUUAUUUUAUUUCAAAAAUUUUCUCUUGCCUCUUUUUCGUCUCCUUGGCACCCAAAAUACUGUACUAUGCCUCAAUUGACUUUCAAAUCACUUUUUAUCUCAUAAAUUCUUCUCUAAUAAAAAUAUUAUUAUUUUAUUAUUAUUUUCUCGCAUGCGAAAUAUUUUAUUCUAAACUAUUCCUUAGGCCUACUUGGACCUUAAUAACAUUAGAAAACUACUUUUAGGGGUUCACUAAGAGAAAUGAUGAAAUUACCCCUAGUUCGUGUUAUCACGUCUACUGUUAGUUACGGGUCAAUAGGGGUCAAGGUCUCACAAUAACAUUUAUGAAGUUCAAGAAAUAUAAGCAAAAAGAUGUUCAAUAAGCACAUAAGCCAUAUUUGAACUCCAAUACCAAGUGUUAAAGCUCAAUAUAGCAAUUGAUAGAUAUAAGUAAGAUCUCCCCCUUUGUAAAAACACAAUAUCAAUUAUGAUAGAUGGAAUCAUUUUAAAGCUCAUUAUAUCAAUUGAUAAAGCACUAGUAAAGACUACCCGUAUCACUAAGCAUUCCAAGCAUAUCAACUUCAAAGCUUAAAACAUUUAAGAAAGAUAUGAUCAAUUUAAAGCUCAAGAGAGGAGAGACAAUUAUAAAUCUAAUUGAGAAAACUUAAGGCUUGAUACAAAUUAUGCAUUUCAACAUUCAAGUUUAAGUGAGAAGCAAUAUAAGGCACAAUAUCUAUUUUGGUGUUUAGAAAGAUGUUACCAGUAACGAAGAACACCAAAUGUGGAAUCUCACCAAACCUUGUUGUUGAAGAUCUUAAUUCCUUAUGAUAUCAAGGACAAUGAUUGACUCCCCUUUAAGAAAUCAUAAGUUCAACACAAAUUGUUAGAGAUCCUCAAUACAUCAAAUAUUAGGAGAGAAAUCAUAAGCCUAGAAUAAAUGAGCAUUCAUAUGGAUAUUCAAUUUAUAUCUCGAAUACUCAAGUAUUCAUGGAACCAAAAAAAGUAUGAGCAUUUGAAUAAAUGUUCAACAUAUGCAUCACAUACUCAUAUUUUCAAGAAGUAUUUGCCAAGUAGUUCGUAGGCAUGUCUAAGGUAUCAUUAGUCUUCAAGCACUGUUCUCAAUUAUCAUCAAGUAUUAUUAAUCAUCAUCAAACAUUCAUUAUUGAUUCCCAAUAUCGAUCAGCCAAGCAAUAUCAAUCAAGCAUUUCCAAGAAAUUCCCUAAUUCGUACAUGAAAAUAGCAACUCAAGAAGAAAUUAAAAAAUAUCAUCAUUAAGCAUUUUUUGUGUGUAUUUUUCCCAAUCAAUUCCAAGUGGUCAUUCAUCCAAAUCAUUUUGAAGCAAGCACUGCAAGAUUUAUUCUCCAAAUUAUAUAUGAAAUUGUCAAUUCAAGGAGAAUUUUCAUUUAUUGCAAUCAUGUAUGAAAGUUAUGAUCAAAUAAGCACAAACAUGAUUACAAGAAAUAACAUGGCUAUUUUCCUUAAUCAUGAUUCCAAUUUUGUUCAUCAAAGUGCAAGCAUGAGUUCAAUAUAGACAUAUAACCAUUGAAAAAAUAUGCAACCAUUGAAGUUCAAGGUACAUGCAAUUUCUCAAUAAUUCAUGAUUCAUGAGUGAUAUCAAUUGCUAUAGAAUAUUGAAAGUAAAACACUCAACUCAUGAAUAUAUUCAAAGUGAACAUUCAAUCAUCAAUGAAUACCAAUUAUCAAGAUUCAAGAAAGAGAUAUUUAAUCAAAGCACAUUAGGCAUUCAUUGCUAACUAAAGCUAUAGGUCAUAUUUUAUUUGACAUGUCAUGUUGUUUAUGGUGACCUAUAAGCUAAAGUAGUUGGAUGCACACAAAACCUUUAGAUCAUGUAAACGUUAAUGCUCAAUGAAGACAUAGUUAACAUUUAAAUGCAUAUUCAAAAUAAAUUUCAACUAUGUCAACUCACAAUAUAUGCCAAGAUCAAACUUGACAAUUAAAUUCAUAUUCAUAUGCACAACUCAAGUGAAGUUUUAGACUUCAAACCUUACGGUCAAGCAUAAAGAAAAAUCAUAUAAACAUGUGUCUUGACCAAUAUAGUAGAUGAACCAAGAAUAUUUUCAUUAAGUUCAAUGAGUUCAUCCUAAUCGAAUAAGUAUGCAUAAUCAAGAAAUCAAUUUUGAAACAAUCAUUUAAGCACAACCAUAAAAUAUAUUUCAAGAAUUGUUCCUAUAUUAGCAUUUGAACAUUUCAAUUUUCAUGAGAAGAAAUUUUCUAUAUAUGCACAUGAAAAUCCAAUCGGAUUAACAAAUUCAAGCAUUGAUGAACAAUUUCUCAUAUUUCUAUUUAGUCAUUGUACAUACACGAGAAUUUAUGGAAUCAAUAUGAGUGUCAUGCUUGGGAAUAGAUAGAUUUAUGUCAUCCAAAAGGAUUUCCAAUUUUUCAGCAAGUUUUGCAAUUUCAAUUCCACUUGCAUUUACCACAAGUUAUCUCUUACGUAAUCUAUACGAAUUCUCAUUAUACUUACACAUAACUUCACAUCAUUUACAUGCUUAUACUCCCUUCUUAUCAUUUCCUAUUAUAUGCUUUAUAAUCUCUUUGAUCUUUCAAAGGUUUAUCUUUAUUAGAUCAUUGCAUCUUAUGCAAUACCACAAUCCUUAAAAGUCAUCCUUAUUUCUCAAUUAUUCUUCAUACCUCAAACAUAUAUAUUAUAUCCUUGUUGCAUGUUGACUUUAAUGAGUCAUUUAAACACUUAGGCUAAUUCGAAUCGUGUAUACCUUAAGCAUUUUCGAAUUCCAAUUUUCAUACUACCUUAGGAAGUUUUCAUCAUCGGAUUUCCUUAUCCCGAUUAUUUUCAAUCAUCCUUUGUUCUAUUCUUCCAUACUAAUGUGACAUCUUUCUCCCUAGACCAAUCUAUAAUUUGUACUUGGAACUGCAAGACUCGAAACAAGGUUCUCCUUAAGUACUUUUCAAUGUCAAUGCAAAUCUCACUUUCAUUACUUGGUAUUGACAUCCCUUACCUAUCUCUCAUAUAUUCAUCUAACUCUUCGCUCACUUUUUUUUUUCCUUAGCCUUUAACAAGGCUUAAUCUUUUGUCUCCUUUAUUUUUUUAGGAUUUGACUUUGGUCAACAUAUUAUCCAUCUUAAUACUUCACAUGGUAUCUUAUCUCAAUGUAGCCAUCUCAAGAAUCUUUCAAUUUCUUUUUUUAUUAUAUGCCCAUAUACAAGGUAAUAAAGAAACUUUUCAAUUCAUUCCUGUAAACAUUCUCCGGAACAUUUAAAAUUCCCAAAUAACAAAGCUUAAUGACCAAUGACCAUAAUUCAGCUUGUAAGCUCAUUAUCAUACAACUCCCAUCUUGCUCAUGUAUCCUAGACAUGAGGUGUCCCUAGUGUUGCGAUGCUGGACAAUCAAUGCUAUAGCGUCGUGGCUACUAGACAUGGGAUAGUUUAAACACUACAGCCCUAAAAAGUUAGUGUUGUAGUGUUGUGGCUGCUAGAAAUUUCUUCCACGAAUAAGUUCUUCCAUCUUUAAAGUUACUACAAGGGUCAUGCUCAACCAUUUGGCUUUCCUCCAAGCCUAUCCCACAAAUUUCAUGACCAUGCGUAUCUUCUCUUUUGCUUAUUUUAUGCAUUAAGCCGAGUCAAUAUUUUGAAACUCAUUUCAUCUUUUAACUUUCAUCGUCAUUCGUGAAAUCCCACCUUAAAACAUCCUUUCCAUAUGGUGUAAUGAAUUUACAAUACAUAUAUCACCCCACACAUAAUUACUCACUGUCUACAGCAUUCCUCAAAUUUAUUGUCAUCCAUAUCUAAUUAUCUUCCUUGUCUUGUACUCCAAUAGUUUAUUGACUUUUGGUAUAAAUAACUACGAAAACAGUUCAGCUUCCUCCUCACUUUAUUCUCACAAUCCUUAUUAAAUCAAAAUUUCAUAUUUCCCAUAUUCCAUAAUUUAACUUCAUUGGGCUAUAUUUGUGCCCAAUUAUUACCUCAUAGUGUCAUGGCAUCACUUGGUAAUCCCCUUCAUGCUUAAAUUACAAUCAUCAACUUAAUCAUGUCAUCCAUUCCAAAUGUCAUUUAUAACCUUAUUGAUUCCUCCCAUAACCUUUCUCGAUAAUUAUAUUACCAGUUUACCUCUGUCAUACAAAAAGAUUCCCAUACACAUCCAAUCAUUGAAACAACUACUUUAUAUUCAGCUCGAGUCAUACAAAAUAAAAGCCAACUCUUAACUCCUUUGUACAGAUAACUACUACAUUUUCCCUUAAAUGACACUUGCCUAGACUUAUGGUGAUACUAACUUCAACGAAGGUAUUAAGUAUCUUUAGGAUCCUCGUCGCUUUGAUCCGAGCACCUUGACGGAUCCACUUUCGGGUCUUCCUCCUCUUCUUGAGAUUUUCUCCUUUGUUCCUCAAUCCAAGCUUGCUGUAUUCUCGUGCAUUCUUCGUCACUCACAGGUGCGGCACUUAUUCCGUAUCUAGGAGGAAAGUGUCGAACAGUUGACACCUUCCUAGGACAAAUAUCUCCCUUUGCAAUUGCCUUCCUCAUACAUUCUUUAUCCCACUCCUCAGAUUGUUUCAAAAGAAAAUUCCUUACAGUUUUCGAAGUAUCGGAGCUAUCCUCACUUUCAAGACUUUCGCUACUCUCAAAGCUUUCCUUAUUACGAAACCAUUUUGCUAAGUUCGAAGGAAUCCUAUUAAUAGGAAUUCAGAACGGACCACUUUCCAGAUUUCCUGGAUCAGGGCGCCACUGGCUCCUGGCAAUGGAAUCUAAUGAUCCUUCGUUAGCACUAUGAGUGGCAUCGGGACUACCGCCUCUCCUAUACAUGGACUGUACGAUAAGCACACCUUCAAACCUAUAAGCAGCCAAGUAUAAAUUACUUAGCCAUUUAUAACUCAUAAGAACAGGUAGGGUUCUAAAGAUGUAGAGGUCCAAGUAGCCUUCUGUCCUUGACUUUCAUUACGCACCCACAAUCUAAGGACAAGACUCUACACAAACUCCAACAACUCCGCUAACAAUAUAGAAAUCCAUAGGACUUAACUAAACCUAGGGCCGUGAUACCAAAUAUGUCACAGCCCAGUUUCUAGGCCAUGACCGGUGCAAGGACCCAAUAAGCAUAGCCCACUAGGCCCAAGCAAGCCUCUCAAUAUGCACUGGUCUACUAACCCAUCUAUCUAGAAUAUUUCUUUAAGAAUAAACUUAAUAGUGUUCACAUGUCGACUUCUCCAACGCAACUCAUAAAACCCAAGUGAAUGCUCACAUUAGCAUCAUAAUUCAAAUCAUACAUAGAUAGUUUGUCAAUAUAUUUUUGCAAUUCACAUUAAACAUAUACAAAGACUUUGAUCAUCAUCGGAGUGACUCUAGAUGGUAGAUGUGACUACUGAGUGUCAAGAUACCUACCCAAAAGAUGGGGUACGCAGACACCUCAAUCUACGCAUCAACCACCACUGAAUCUAAAAACAUGAAGUUGAAAACGUGAGUAUAAACUCAGUGAGUGAACCUAGGAAGGGAACAAGCAUUAAUACGGGAAGUUUUAGAACUCAUAACGUAUUUAUGUAGAAAACAAUGCAAUUUAACUCAAUUUCUUGUCACAAUGGAAAUUUGUCUUUGCUGCGGUGAAAAUCAAGUGGAAACCAUUUGUCAAGUUUUAACAUUCAAAUUUCACAUGCAUUUCAAUCAUAUACCAUAUUCAUGAACUUUUAUUUCAUAACAUAGAUACACACAUAUACAUAUAGAUAAACACCAAUACCACCAUAGUCUCAUCCAACUCAUCUGCAUCCCCCCACAUCGUGCACAUAGUCGAAGCCAUCAUGUGCAUCCCCCCACAUCGUGCAUAGUUAGUGCCAUCGUAUGCAUCCCCCCACAUCGUGCACACGGGCACUCUCAUCAUCCAACUCCCUCACCACCGUCAUCAUCGACAUGUACAUCCCCCCACAUAGUGCACACGCACGGUUAUCAUUAUCACACAAUAUCCACCCCCAAUGCACAAUAUAUAUAUAUGUACAUAUAUAUAUAUAUAUAUCAACAUAAUGUAGUAGUACAAAAAUCCAUAACAGCCACAUGUCACAACAUAAAAACAAUUUAUCAAGGGCUUGUUCCCAAGGCACCCGUUUUAAGAAAAUAUUAGACAAAAUAAUUUAAAGGUUUUGUGCAAACACAUUCACAUUCCCAAAGCAAUUUGAAAUGCAAGUUCACUCACCUUGUAACAAUGAGAUAUCAAGUCACUAUUUGUUUGGAGGUGUCUCUAACUAUUUUCACUACCCGAUCGUUCAUUAUUUAUUAUGGCACGCCACCAUAGUACUCAAACUUUACUUUAACAAGUCCUAGCAAUAAUCCAAACUCAAUAUGUUUAGUGCAUCAAUCCCACCUCUGUUUCUCACCCUAUCAUGAAACCAUAUUCAAUUAUAAUAUCGACAACUUAUGUAAAAUGUCUCGUACUUAAUUCAACCUUUUAAUUAACUUCUGCCCAAAUCCAUCUUAUUUUUCCACAGUAUUAACUAUAUUUACGAUAACUAUAGUCAUUUCGAAUCUAUAGAAUUAUUUUCCAAUUUCAAUCCACAUUAUUUCUCCUUAUUUCUUCCAAAUAUUAUACCACUCAACUUAACACUUUCAACUAAUUUAUACUAAUAAAUUCCUCCGACAACAAUAAUUUUUCACAACAAAUCAUUUAAAGUUUCUUAACUUUACUUAAGCACUAUUCAUAAAUUUCAUAUUUUCUUCUUUACUUUAGUCCUACGACACAUCCUAAUAAAUUUUUAAAUAUUGUAUUAAAGUAAUUUAAAUUUAAUUCAUACCACUAAUAACCAAAAUUUAACUAAACAAGUGGGCUAGCUUAAAAUAAUCCCACUUCAUAAUAGGCCAAAUAAAAGCAAAGAAAUUUUUUUUCUUACCUAUUUGGACUAGGUUAGUCCAAGUCUAAUUUUCCACCUUUAUUCUCUCUUGGACUUUUCUUUCUUUGUGGCUAUUAGGCCCUUUUCAUGGGCUCUUUCCAUUUCUUCCUAUUGGGCCACGCCCAUUCUUUUCUUAUUGCGCUAUGCCCAUAUAUAUAUUUUUUCUUUUCUUCCUUUCCUAUUCCUUUCUCUCUUUCUCUUUCUCCUUUCUCCCGUUGGUCAACAGCACCCUGCUUGUCUUUCUUUUUCCUUUCUUACAUGCACAAGCUAGCCACAAUUUCCUCCUCUUUCUCCCUCUCAUCCCCGACAACAAGUUCUUGCUUCUUUCAACCAAAAUUUUUCAGCAGCCAAAGCUGCUCAUAUUAACCUCAAAAAUCAGCAGCCAAGCUACUUCUUCCCCCCUCAAAAGUCGGCAGCCAAAGCUUCAAAGAUUAGAAGCCAAAAUGGCACCUUUCAGCUUUAAAAAAAUCAGCAGCUAAAGCUACUCCUCUCAGCCUCAAAAUUGACAGCCAAAGCCUAAAAAAUAAGCAGCCACAGCUGCUCUUUUCUUCCCUAAAUGGCAACAAAACCACCUCAUCAACUCAACUUCUUCUCCUUUCCUUUUCUUUCUCACUACUUGGCUUUUCUCUUCUUUUCUUUCCUUUUGCUCUUUUUGCUUUCCUUUUGCCCUCUUAUGCUCGACACCUUCUUUUUGUUUAUUUUUCUUCUCUUCCACUAACCGACUUAUCUCUUUCUUCUUCUUCAUUUUAUUUAUUUAUUUAUUUAUAUAUUUUUUUCAUUUGCUUUCCAAUUUGGUCGGCCCCCAUAUUUCUUUCCUUCAUCACCUUGUUCCACAUGGCCGACCCCCCCUUCCAUCAUAAAAAAAUUGUUUGUUGACCCUUUUUAUUGACUACAUGGGCGACUGUCCAUGUUGGUCUUUCUUUUUUUUUUUUAUUUAUACUUGUAUUAUUAUUUUACUAUUUGUUUAUUUUAUUUCUUCCAUUUAAUUCCACUACAUAAUCUUUCAACUUUUAUAUUUUAAAAUUCGAUCCUUUCGAUACGUCUAAAAAUUCCAAUUUUCAUCUAUCUUCCUUUGUACGUGUACCACCAAAAUAUCAAAAUUGCACUUCAAAGCAGUAUUAUCAUAAUAUUUAAUAUUUACUUAUCCGCGUUGGCUCCACUUAGCGAAACACGCAUUUUUCACUUUCGUCGUUCAUCUCCAAAAAUUUAUUUGUAUUUCUUCUCCCCCACUUGGAUCAACCAUAUGAUCCUUCUUCAUGAUUGAUUUCGACAUUCGGUUAAAUAUUAAUAUUUUAAUAUUAUUUUAUUAAUAAAAUAAUAUUUUAUUCGAUAAGCUUUAUUAGUCACCAUAUCAAGCCAUAAAGUAUUACAGAAACAAUGUCAUAAAUCAUGAGGAAAUUUUAUAGAAACAAUUUUUCAUAAUCAAUCAAUCUUAAUAAAACAAUUUUCUCAAAACAAGAAUGAUAAUAUAUUCAAGAUCAAAUAUAAGUACAUACUCAAUCAUUUGAUUCUUACUUCCUUGCAACUUAUAGUAUGUAUCAUAUCAAAUCAAGUUGCAUAGCCAAGAUUGAUCAAUAAAGCUCAAAGAAUUAUGCACUUAAUAUUCAAGCAAUAAUAGGCAACUAAGAUUUUCAAUGUAGUAAACAAUUUUAGAAACCAAGCCAAAUGAAUGAAACAUUCAAUAAAUAAGCAAUCAAGAUUCUCAUAAAAUAAAUUAGCAUAGAAAUCACCCAUUUUCCUUUAUGUGUGACUCAAGAGCAUUCAUUCUUCAAGAAUUGUUUGUCCUUGCUCUAGCACACCUAUAAGAGACAUUUUUCAUUUGAUCUUUGGUAUCCAAAUUUCUUUGGAUCCUUGAAAGUUAGUCUCGUUGCAUAAAGUUCCUUUGGGAACCCAUACUUGUCUAAAUUUGUAAGGCACACAUUUUUUAAUUAGACAAGUAUAUGAACAAUAAUUAUAACAUGUGCAAUAAUUGCCUUUAGUCAUUUUGGAAAAUGAGGAAUUCAUGAAAGCCUUUUGUUUCUUAUUCAUUUAAUCUGCAAAUUUCAUUUCCAUAUCAAAAUUUUCUUUUUCUAAAAUAUCAAUUUUCUUUUGGUAAGCUUCAAAAUCCUUUUCCAAAUUUUCAUUUUCUUUUAUCAAGUCAAUUUUUUUUCAUCAAAAUUUCAUUUUCAACAUCGAGUGUAGAAAUGAUUUUCUUGUUCUUCAUAUUCAUUUUCUCAAACUCAAAUGCUAAAUCCUCAAAAACAUCAUUUAAUUCAUCAAAAGCAUAUGAAUUAAGUUCACAAGAUGAAGAAAUUACCUUUAUGUCUUUAAGAGCCAUGAAGCAUAAUUCAAUUUGAUUUGAGUAUUCAUCUUCACUUGAUUCCUUGUUUGAAUUUGCCAUGUUGCUUGUUGAGCAUUGAUUCUUGCAAGAGUUGUCUUCCAAUUCCUUUUCCAUAUUUGUUUCUCCAUAUAACUCUUCUAAUUUUUGUCAAAUUUCCUUGGCACUUUUGCACAUGAACACUCUAUCGUAUUCUCUAUACUCAAGUGCACAAAUGAGAGUGUGCAUGGCCUUAAAGUUGAUUUGUGCUCUCCUCAUUUCAACUUCUAUCCACUUAUUUCUAUCUUUAGGAGUUUUCUCACCAUUUACCAAAUUUGUGAUCAUAGGAAUGAAAAGACCAUCGGUAAUGGCAUCCCACAUCUCAUAGUCAUAAGCCCUAAUAUAAAUGAACAUUCUAGUACUCCAAUAAGGAUAGUUUGAUCCAUUAAAUAGAGAAGGCAUAUUUAUGCGUUGACCCUCAACAUCAACAAAAUUUUCUAGAGCCAUUAAGAUCUACCCUAAGGAUGUUAGGCCUUAAAAAUAGGGGUUAGGCUCUAAUACCACUUCUUGGUCUCAAUAAUAUGUGCUGGAGGGGGGGUGAAUAGCACAAAUCGGCUCUUGACAAGAUGAGGAACUAAUUUCCAGCAUAAAGGAAAUAAAAAUAGAGUAGACAAUGUACAGCAAUUUAUAAUGGUUCGGUCCAAGACCUACAUCCACUACCUUAAUUAUCCAACCAAGGAUUUUCCCAACAACUUCACUAAUAACUAGUGAAAUUCACAAGCUUUCACCAAGUUUUACAAUGGCUUUUACAAGGCUCAGCCAAAACCUUUCACACUAGUUUUUCAUGGGCUAAACUAAAAUCGAAAGUGAUUUUUCAAAGGCUCAACCACAACCUUUCACAAUGGUUUUUCACGGGCUCAACCACAACCUACAACAAUAGUUUUUCAUUGGCUCAAUCAAAACCCAAAGUGGCUUUUCAAAGGCUCAACCACAACCUACAACAAUGGUUUUUACUGGGAUCAACCAAAACCCAACAACCAACUUUUUUAGGCUAAGUUGGAACCUUUACACUCAAUCAAGCAAUCUCAGCUUGAAUAAAUCCCUUAAAGUGACUUGUUCACUCUAAGUGUAUAAGAAGAGAAGAAAUAAAAAAGUACAUAUGAUCACUUACUUGAUCUAGAUGGUACAAAAUGAAGUGUUGAACACUAUUACAAAGAUUGGCGUUUAAGUGCAACAAGGUGCAGAAAAGAUUUUCUGGUUUUUUAGCUCUAUAUCACUUGGAAGCCUUCAAUUCUCUCUAAAAACUGAUUUCUAACCAUUGAAAAACCCUUUUAUACUUGGAGAAAUAACUCUGAUGACAAUUUGACAGUUUAUGGCCGUUGGAAACAGUUGAGGAUGAGUUCUAGCCGUUAAUUUGUCUUGUAGUGCACUAGUUCAAAUUGCAGACAAAGAGCUCUUACUCGACUGACUUGGUCGACUAAGUUGAUCCUGUUUCUGGUUUGCAGAUCUUGGUAGAGAGCAGUUAGUUGACUGUCUUGGUCGACUAAGUUGAUUCUAUUUCUCAAACUCUUCAGCACGCCAUUUCUCGAAUUUGAAACUUUGAUCAACCAACAUUCUUCCUUGUUUCACCAAUAAGCUUCCUCUUUGUUAGACAACUACAUCUUGUUGAUUUUAUCCCUCUUUUUUCUAUCAAAAAUACUUUUUGAAGAAUUAAUAAAUUAAUUUCAUAUAUUAAUUUCCUGCACACUCAAGUAAAGGUAUUAGACACAAAUGAAUGGGAAUACUUUGCUAUUAUCAAAAACAUAUAGAGUCAACAUUAUCUUUCUCUUAUUUUUGAUGACGACAAAACACUCCUAGAUUAAAAGUGCAAUGUCUAUGUUCAAUAUGAAUGCUUCAAAUCUUUAUGCAUAAUGAGUUGCUCCCCCUUAAUUAAUGCAUUUAGUUUUCUUUAAAGAUUUGCAAUAAACUAUUUAUCAUAUCCAUAACAGCUAAAUAAGAUAUACAAUACCCAUAGUAGCUAAGCAAGAUAUAUUGAAUAUCUAUAAUAACUAACACAUAAUAUUCAAUAAAAUCCUAACUAAGCAUCACACACAUAAAUUAAACGUGAAGACCUAUUUAACUCUAUUUGAUUUAGUCUUCCUUCUCUCUUUUUUCUUUUUCAUCAUUAAACAAGAUAUUAAAAACUCUCCCUUAAUGAGUGCAUCAAGAUUUUCCUUUAAUCAUUAGAUGAAACUUUAAUGAAUGAGAAUCAUAAGCACUCAUACACCUAAGUCAUACAAGCUUAUAGAUAUAGUUCAAUAAAUUCAAGAGUCAAGCUUGUGUCUAUGCAAAAACAAAUAUAUGAAAGUUAAAUCAUUUCAAGAAAUUGUCAAGGAUUACUUAAAUAAUGUUCAAGCAAAUUUGAUCAUUUGUCAUAAUCAAAACUAUAAUAAUUUGAAAGCUAACACAUGUUAGCCAAAAAGUUUAAUAGGUUAAUGAUGAAAAAACUUUCGAAGUUAUAAACCUACAAAGAGGGAUGUGCCUAAGGUAUAGCUUACAAAUGAUCAUUUGAUAUGUUAUGAUUACAAGAAGUUGGGGCAUACCAAAUAUAAAUGUCCAAAUAAGAGGAACACUUUAAGAAACUUCAAGAAUAGGGCAAUGAUGGCCACUUAGAGUGAUAGUGGAGACUCUCAAGAUGAAGGGGAUGUUGAAAUGGCAAAUCUUUGUCUCAUGGCACUUGAUGAUUAUAAGGCAUUUCCUAACCUUUAUGAUCUUGAUACUACAUGAUAAAAAUGAUUAUACUUUCGAUGGGUUACAAGAUGCAUAUGAUGACCUAAUGAUUGAAUUUGAAGAAAAGUCUUUGAAAUAUAAAGGCAUAAUAUCCAAGCUUAAAGUGGAAAAGGAAAAAUUAUUGAAGAUUAAGAUUGACUUAGAAAAUGUUGUGAAAAACAUGCAAAGUGAAUUAAAUGAAUCGAAAAAGAAAGAUGAUGAAUUGCAUGAUAUAUUCUCUAAUUUUCACACAAAAGGAAACACAUCUGAAGAACUUCUUUGUUAAAGACAAUGAGAAAUAUGAUGGAUUUUCUAGUUGCACUAAUUGUUUCAAAUUUAGACAUCUUACUUUAUCAUGCCUUUUGAGAACUGUCUCAUAAAGAGACAAAGUUAUGAAAUAUGCAUGGGUUUCAAAAGGAACCAAACUUCCACAUGGUAAGGUGGUGAAGCUUGAAUAGGUUCCUAAGGGGACCAAGAUGACUAACUGAAAAAGACCUAAAAAUGUUUGGGUACCAAAAUCAAAGGCUUGAAUUUUUCUUUGUAGGAAGAGCUUACAUGCUUAAAGUUAAGAGCACAACAAGAUGGAAAAUAGUACCUUAAUAGUGGAUGCUCUAGACACAUGAUCGGGAACAAAUAAUAAUUCAAAGAAUUGAGACUGAAUAAAAGAGGUAAUGUAACCAUUGGUGUUAUUGGAAAGAAUUCAUCUUCUUCAAUUGAAAAUGUGUUGUUUGUGAACAGUCUCAAAGGUAAUUUGUUGAGUGUAAGUCAACUUUGUGAUAAGGGUAUGAUAAUUCUAUUUUAUAUAAUUAUUUUAUUCUAAUUUUGUUAUUAAAUAUUAGCUAAGUCCUCAAUUUUCAAUUAGUUUAUUUUUAAGUGAGUUGUUUUUAAUUUAUGUUAUUCUUUUCAAUUUGGUUAUUAUUUAUUAGUUUUUAUAUUUUUCAUAGGAUUUAAAAGAAAUUAGGCUUAAUUUUAGAAAGUGAGAUGUUGAAAGACCCAAAAGUUUACUUGCAUAUGCUUCAAUUUGUGUCUAUAACUCGAGUUACAAAUCUCUAAAUGACGCAAUUAUUAGACCAUUGGAAAGCGAAGAGAUAGAGCUACAAUUUUCAUGCAGAUCAUUUUACCCAUUUUCGCCUUGAAGAUAGAGAAAAUAGUGUCAGAAAAUGGCUGGACGUACUUGCCAGAAAUAAAAAUUUGUAAAGAUUGACAAUUGAUUUUUUGGCCUCUCAUUACACUUUUAAGCCCAAUUAAACUCUAGGUCAACUUAAGGAACUUUAGGUUAAGUUUAUUAGUAUAAAUAGGAUAUGUUUAACAACAUUAGGAGAUGACUUUUGGGAGAUUCAAGAAGUUAGGGGUUGAGGUUGAAACUUGGAGAUCAAGACGGAAAAUAUUGUUUUGUUUUCUUCCUUGGCUUUUAUUUUUCUUGUUACUCUUAAUGGUUGAAUUAUAUACAAUGUUAUUUGCUUUUUCAAUUAUGAGUAGCUAAUUUUCUUUUUCUAGGAUUACAAUUGAACUUACAUGUAAUCUAAAUUUUUAAUCUCUUUCUUACUUAUCUUCAAUGGGAAUUGAAUUGUUUAUUCCAAUUUGUUCUUAAUGCUUUUAACUGCUUGGCCACCAAUUAAAUUGAUUUAGGAACCUAAGCAAACUUGGGAAAGGGAGUUUAGAGUAAACUAAAAUUGGGAUAGCAUAUGAUCAUAUUAAUUGAUUUGAGUAUAGGAUAGGGAUAUACCUAUAGGCCAUAUGUAGCCAUAUUAGAGCCUGAACUUAAUGAGUCUGUUUUAAUUUCAAUUCACAUAGGGAUAUAGUGUUUUCGUUAAAAAAGAUAUUUUUAUAAGAUGAGUCAAGUUAGAGUUAUUUUUGAAGCAUUAGUUUUCCAUGUUGUAGACUUCAGAACAAAUAAAAUUCUCUUUAUUUGUGACAGACAAGCAAAUACUUAUGUUGUAUAUCUUGAUGAGUUGUCUUCAAAGAAUAUUUAGUUUAUGGCUAAGAAAAAUGAGGACACUUGGUUGUGGCAUAGAAAACUUGGACUUGCUAGCAUGAACACAUUUUCUAAAAUUUGUUUUUUAGAUCUUGUGAUAGGACUCUGUUAGCUUUGAAAUUGGCUUUAGUUUUGAAAUGACAAAAUUCAAUGAUUGAAAUAUGUUUGUGAGCUUAAAGAAAAAUCAUUGAAAUGAAAGAACUUUCACCAAAAAGUUUUAAAAGCUGUUUGUGGAAGAUAAAAUUAUUUGAAUGCUUUAAAAUCAAGUUCCAAUAAAGAAUAAUCAACUUCUAAAAGUGACGUAUUGAUUCCUUGAAAGAUAGAAAGUUAUAUUUCUUAUUUGAAAUAGGAAGGAAUCAACUUGUCAAGAAAUGGACUGUCAAUUCUCACAAAACAGAAAUCUACUAGACCAUAAGAACCUAGCAUUCAAGAAGCGAAAGGUCAAUUCCUUUAAAGGCAGAAGUAAAAGGAAAAAGCACUAGAUAGUAAGAAUUAACUUUUCAAGUCUCCAAUGAUCGAUUCCUAAGGCGAAAUGAAGGAAAGGUUGAAAACAUGUUGAAGAAGACAAAUGAGUGAUGGAAACUUGUUGAAGAAGUUAAAAGGGGAAAUUUGAGCUAAAAAAGCAAAGUUUGAAAUUUUAAAACAACUCUUAAAAGACAUGAAGAAUUGACUACUCAGAAAAUGAAUGAUCGAUUCCUACGAAAUAGAAUGUCUCAGCCUUAAAGCAUGACAAGAAGAAUCGACUUCUUGAUGGAUGGAUGAUCGAUUCUUGUACAAUAGAGAGCAUCAAGCCUACAACUAAAGAAUGAAGAAUUGACUUCUUAUUGGGUAGUGUUUGAUUCUUGAUGAUUGACAAACUUGACUAAAGUGGCCCUAACUGUUGUAUUUUUGAAUUCCUCUUUCCCUCUAACGACCAUAUUUUAUGAGUGGUUAUAUAUACCUUCAAGAGCACCAUCCAAAGUAAGAGAGCAGAUUAAGAAAAGAAGGGGAAAGUGAGCUUUAUUCCAAAAGAAGAGAAAAACUUCAUUUUGCAAGAUCAUAUCUCUCUCACUUUAUAAAUCUUUCACAAAACAGAGCAUCAGCCGAUAGCUUAAAUUCUCUUAUCUAUGCCUUCAUUCUCUUAUACUCAAAGUCCUCGAUUAGCCUAGUUAGAGGCACUUCAUCUUGUGAUCCACUAUUGUAAGGGUUAUACUUCCUUGAAAGGUAGAUAGGUUAUACUCGAGCCUUAAAAAGUUAGCUUGGUUAUACUACUAUUGCAAAAGGUAGAAAGGUUGUGCUUUAACUUGUGAAAGGUGUGUGUCACGACCCGGUACUCCUCUUGAGCCCGUGACAAUUGCAGUGGUGUCCCGAUAGACACUCAUUACCUGUAAUGCCAACCGAAACCCCGCAAGGCUUUAAUAUCAAUUUAUCUUUUCCCAUGUGAGUAACCGUUGCCAAAUAUCAUGUUCUAAAAGAUUUUAAGCUAUUUCCAACUUAAAAAAAUAAAAAAUUGAUUUCUGUCUCACAAGGGCAUUUUUGUCAUUUUUCCUCAAAAAUUUCGAAACUAGCUAAAAAUGAAGUAUGUGAGUAUAAAACACAUAAUUCAUAAUCAAAAAUAAGUUUAAACAUCUAAAACCUUCAUUUAAAAUGAAAUUAUGACUAUUUGAAUAUAAUAAAAAUAGUCAAUAAAAUAUUCUAUUUUCUUAUAAAACAAUAUUUUAGAGUUACUGGUAAAUAAUUUUUGUAGCAUAAAAGCUAAAUAAAUUCAUACAUACUGUAAUACAGAUAACUAAAGUAUAAAUUUAAUUUACAAUGACACGUGGGCCCUUAAAUGACAAAAAUGAACGAAGGCUGUGAACCUACGAUUUUUUGAGGAAGUAAAACCAAUUCUAGCCUUCAACGAUAUCAGCUAUCUACAGCCUAUUCUAAGUUUGAAAUGGGUGGAAAGGAGGGUGCUGAGAUUAUAUAUUCCCAAUGAGUAAACAAACACCAUCCAAAAUAUCUAAAGUCGAGUAAAUAGAGGCGAUUAAAAUAUUCCAUCUCGAUAUGUAAUUCAUAACAUAAAUAUUCAUUUCAUUUAAAUAAUCAACAUGGCUUACGAGUAUCUUAAAAGCUUGGCCCCUUCCAUAAUCAUUUUCGAGAAUACCUUGGCCGAGGUAUUAAACUGAGUCCGCCAAGGCUGUUAAAAAUUUCGUAUACACGUAAACAUAUUUUUAGUUUGAAAAACACAGCCGUUCCUUAGCGUUAGCGGAGUUCAUCAUCACGAGGUGGUUUGGCAUGACGUGAACUCUAACCAUACCUCAAGAGAUACCCUACGCACCUCUCCGACCGAGGUACAUAUAUAACCGGAUUUUGUGCCCCUCUAAUACGCUGGUUCACACAACCCGCCCACUGCAGCAAGCUAAACCCACCAUACAAUAAAAAUUCAAUAGCAUGACAUGGUAAUUUUAUCAUUAUCCAGCCUAUCAAGGCAAACAACAGUUUAUACAUUGUCAACACAAAUACCAAUUCAACCAUACAUGCCAAUAUUGCCAUAAGCCAAUCAAUUAGAACUAUAAAUUCACAAUACAUCAAAUGGUCUCCAAUUACUCUAUUUUCAAAGCCAUCAUUCAAUUUCAAGAUAAUGUAUAAAAUCAUUUCAUUUAAACGCAUUUUGUUUAUAAAACCUAAAAGUUAACCAUUUAAACUCAUUUUCCAUAACAUUCACCAAAUCAAAUAAAAAGACCACUUUAGAUAAUUAAAAUGAUGAUAAGGUUUUUCACUAUUUCGGGAGUCAAAUUUUUAGAGUACUCCGACUAUCGAUCCUCGGGUAUAAUUUCUUUGCCCUUAUCGGAGGAUUCACCACCUAGACAUAACGCACAAUCAAGCAAUUUACCACAUUGGUGCUAAACUGUUAUAAAACUAUAUGGAUGCAUGAAAUGGAAUGUAAAUUGUUCGGAUUAUCGUCUAAACACAGUGUUCUACACAAAUUCAAUUGUGGACCUAAAUAAAACGGUAUUGGCCUAAUUCGAUCUAUCACUCAAUUAAUUGGCCAAUAUGCCCAAUUCAACUCCAAUUAAAUCAUUUUUCUUUCAAUUAUCCAAACCAUCAAACACAAGUCAAAUAGCAUAAAAUUUAGCAAAAUCAUCUUCACAUUUUCUUUUGGGAAUUUCGGCCAUGGUGGGUACAUUAACACUAUGAUUUUUCCAACUUGAUUUUCUCACCAUAAUUCAUCAUUUCCUAACCAAUUCGCUUGAAAUAAAAUCAAAUCCACCAUCCACACUCUACAUGGAAAAUUUGGCCAAUGAUGGGUGAUGGGAGAAAAUGAAUUUUUCUUGUUUGUUUUUCAUGCUACACAUCACUAACUAUCUAAAAACACUAAAAUACAUUGAAAUCUAUGCAAAUCAAGCAUCAAAACUCCUCUCCCCAUGUUCGGCCAGUAAGGGAUUCAUCAUGAAAUCAUGUGAUUCAACCAUGGAAAAUGCAAAAGAAUGUAUGGGAAAGGUAGAUCACAAGUCAAAAUCAAGAAAUUUUGCCUUUGAUUGCUUGAUUACUUGAAAUCCACCAAUUUUCUCUUGAAUUUUCACUCUAGGUUUUUUGUUCUUCAUUUCUUCCUUUGUUCUUGUUUUGGCCGGCCAUAUGAAAAGAAAUAGGCUAAUUUUAUGCUAAUUUAUAAGGAAAAUAAUAAAUGGAUGAGAAUUUGACACAUGUCACCAUUCCAUUGGUCCAUGUGUCAUUCUUACUUAUUAAGCAAUCUCUCUCCACCAUAUAAAUUUUCUCAAUUAUCCAUGAUAAUAUUGGGUAAAAUCCAUGUGCUAGACAAGUGUUGGGUGUGUAAAAUUACCAUUUUGCCCUUAAGGUGGCAAAAUGACUAUUUUGGCAUUUUGCUCGAAAAAAUGCGAAAAUUAAAAUUUUUCACUUUUCAAACUCAAAUUAUACUCCAAAUGAUCAAUCUUAGUCAAAAAGUUCAUCCAACACUCACAUCUUAACCUCGGAUGGCAAAAUGACCAUUUUGCCCCUAGGUCAUGAAAAUUCCAAUUUGACUCCAAAUCGGUCCUCGAACUCCUAAUCACCAUUUUAAGUCAUUCUGUUGUUCUAAAAUUCUCAAUUUGAUUUUAAAAUCCCUAUUUGGAGUAGUUCAAGGCUUAAUUCAACUUAGUUGCACCACUAGGUACAUUACCGACUUUUAACGAUUUUUUGGGGCUUUCUAAGCAUGCAAGCAUUCUGUUAAUCACAUGAAUGACAUGGCUAAUAUUUUAGAAAGUCGGGCUUGACAGCACUACUCCCCUUAAAAUAAAAUUUUGACCUCAAAAUUUUACUUAUCGGAUUCGAAGAAAAGAUGUGGAUAUUGGUUUUUCAUCUGGUGCUUGACUUCCCAUGUCAUCUCCUCCAUUCGAGCAUUCUUCCACAACACUUUCACCAUUGGAAUGCUUUUGUUCCUUAGCACUCGAUCCUUUUGAUCUAAAAUACGUACAAACUACACCUCAAACUUCAAAUCUUCAUGCAACUCAAUAGGAGGUGUCUGUAGAAUAUGGGAGGGAUCGGGAACAUACUCUUUCAACAUCGAGACGUGGAAAACAUUGUGAAUCCGAUCUAACUCCGUGGGUAAUUCAAGUCUGUAAGCCACUGGCCUGAUCCUUUCAAUGAUACGAAAUGGUCCAAUGUAUCUCGAAUUGAGCUUUCCCCGCUUCGAGAAUCGAAUCACACCUUUCAUUAUCCAAUAAAUACCACAAUUUAUCAUAAUAGUAUAAUCAAAUAAGAUUUAAUACUUCAAAAUUUUCAAAUUAUUACCUUUUCAAGGAGAAACCUUAAGAAAAACUUUAUCGUCCACUUCAAAUUUCAAAUUUUUCCUUCGUUUAUCAGAAUAACUUUUCUGCCUAUCUUGAGCUGUCUUUGAUCGUUCUCGGACAACCUUGAUCUUGUCAUUUGUCAACUCAAUCAAUUUUACAUUAAACAAUUUCCUUUCACCCACUUCAUCCCAACAGAGUGGAGUUCGACACUUUCUUUCAUACAGAGCCUCGUAUGGUGCCAUCCCAAUACUAGAUUGAAAACUGUUAUUAUACACGAACUCCAUUAAUGGCAAGUGUUUGUCCCAACUCCCAAUAAAGUCAAUGACACAAGCCCGUAACAUAUCUUCUAGAGUCUAAAUAGUCCUUUUAGAUUAACCGUCAGUCUGCGGAUGAAAGGUAGUGCUAAAUCUCAAAUUAGUUUCGAGAGCAUCCUAAAAUUUAGACCAAAAUCGAGAAGUAAACCGAGGGUCUCAAUCUGACACAAUAGAAACUAGAACUCCAUGUAAUCUCACAACCUCAUCUAUAUAAAGCUUAGCCAGCUUCUCAUGGAAUACGUGCUAUGGAUAGCUAAGAAAUGGGUGGACUAAGUCAAUCUAUUCACAAUCACCCAAAUAGCAUCCUUCCCACUCUAUGUCUGUGGCAAACCCAAUACAAAGUCCAUAGUCACAUGUUCCCACUUCUAUUUUGGAAUCGAUAAAGGCUAAAGAGUACCUGAUGGUUUUUGAUGCUCCGCCUUAAUCUGUUGGCAUGUGAGACAUUUUGCCACAAACUCUACUAUGUCUCGUUUCAUACCUGGCCACCAAUAACUUUCUUUAAUAGUACGAUACAUCUUGGUGCUUCCAGGAUGUAAAGCGUAGCUGAAGAAUGAGCUUCCUCUAAAAUAGCUCGUCUCAACUGGUCAUCUUUAGGAACAUAAAUCUGGUCUCCAAGCAUCAAAGUACCAUCAUUACUGAGUCUAAACUCACUAGUUUCUCCAUCUUGCAGCUUUUGAACUUCCUGUUUCAACCGAUCAUCGAAUUUUUGCGAUUCUCUUAUCUAAUUCAACAAUGAAGGUCUCACAGCAAAACGAGCAAGUAGGGUUCCAUCCUCACCAUUAUUCAACUGAACCCUUAAAGAUUUCAUCUCAAGUAACAUCAAAAAAUAAGAACUCCGAAGUGUUGCUAUCGAUGAUGAGGAUUUACGACUUAAGGCAUCCACUACAACAUUUGUCUUUCCCAGAUGAUAAUCAAUCACUAAGUCAUAAUCCUUAAUCAACUCUAGCCAUCGUCUUUGUCUCAAAUUAAGUUCUUUUUGGGUGAGCAAAUAUUUCAAAGUUUUAUGAUCAGUAAAAGUCUAACAACGCUCACCAUAUAAAUAAUGCCUCCAAAUCUUUAAUGCGAAGACUACUACUGCUAACUCCAUGUCAUGAGUAGGAUAAUUCGUCUCAUGCUUCUUCAACUGUUGGGAAGCAUAAGCUAUUACUUUUUCAUCCUGCAUCAAUACGCACCCUAAUCCCAACUUAGAGGCAUCACUGUAUACCAUAAAUUCUUUCCCACCAACCAAAAGUGUCAGAACGGGAGCAGAGGUUAACCGGUUCUUUAGCUCUUGAAAUCGACUCUCACAAACAUCAUCGCACUCAAACUUAACUCCUUUACGAGUCAGACGAGUCAAAGGAGCAGCUAUCAAUGAAAAUCCCUAAACAAAUCUCCGAUAAUAACUGACUAAGCGAAGGAACUGUGAAUCUCAGUUACAGUUCUCGAUUGCUCCCAUUGGAAAAUUGCCUCAAUCUUCUUGGGAUCAACAUAAAUUCUAGCUCUGGACAUCACAUGUCCCAAGAAAACCACUUCCUUUAACCAUAACUCACAUUUAGAGAACUUGGCAUAGAGUUGUUUUUCACGCAUGGUUUGCAACACAAUAUGCAAAUGGGCAACAUGUUCAUCAUCAUUCUUCGAAUAAACCAAGAUGUCAUCUAUGAAUACUAUCACAAGCUUAUCCAAGUAUGGAUGGAACACCCUGUUCAUAAGAUCCAUAAAAGCUCCCAGGGCAUUAAUCAAACCAAACAGCAUCACCGAAAACUCAAAAUGCCCAUAACGCAUCCUAAAAGCAGUCUUAGGUACAUCCUGCUCUUUAAUCUUCAAUUGAUAAUACCCAAACCUCAAGUAAAUCUUAGAAAACACCAUAGCACCUUGUAAUUGAUCAAAAAGAUCUUCAAUCCGUGGUAGAGGGUAUUUAUUCUUGAUGGUCACUCGGCUCAACUGACGGUAAUCAAUACACAAUCGAAGAGUGACAUCCUUCUUCUUUACAAAUAGGACUGGUGCUCCCCAAGGAGAAGUGCUAGGGCGAAUAAAAUCCUUAUCCACCAAAUCUUGCAGUUGGACUUUUAGUUCCUUCAACUUUACUAGAGCCAUCCGAUAUGGAAGGAUAGAAAUAGGUGCGGUACCCGAAAGUAAUUCAAUAGGGAACUCAAGCUCUCGCUUAGGAGGUAGUCCUGGUAAUUUGUAAAGAAAUACAUCAGGAAACUCACUUACUAUUGGGACAUCUUCAAAUUUAGGCUCCCCUUUUGAAGUAUCAAUCACGUGUGCUAAAUAUGUCGGAUACCCUUUCUGCACCAGUUUCAAAGGUUUGAUGGCCGAGAUUACACAGGAUGGUAAUACUCGACGUUUCCCUGCAAAAACAAUCUCUGUUCCCUUCGAAUUCUGAAGAACAGCUUCUUUCCUGAAACAAUCCACAUUCGCUCGAUGUGCAGUUAACCAGUCCAUACCCAAUAUCAAAUCGAAAUCUUGGAUCUCUAGAGGAAUCAAGUCACCUCUAAAUUCUUCCUCAUCAACCAUUACUCCACAAUCUCUAUAACAACUGUUUCUAACUAGCUUUUCUCCUAAAUGGGUGUGAACUAUAAUUUCUUCCUCUAAUGGUGACAGGUUUCUAUCAACAAUUGAUACAAAUGCCAUACUCACAUAAGACCUAUUUGAGCCAGAAUCUAUCAAAACAUAAGCAUCUUUAACAAAUAAGGACAUAGUACCUGUCACUGCUCCAAGUUGGACUCGUGCCUCAUCUUCCGUCACAGUGAAAACUCUUGUCGAAGUACGAGUCUGUGGUCUCGAAGGUGGAUAUGCCGAGGUGUUACUUUCUACACUAGACUGUAUAGCCACUCCCUACCUUGGUGGUAACCUAGAAGGAUCUCUCUUCUGCAUAUCCUACAAGCUGGUGGAGAUAGAGCUGUUGUAGUAGCCCGUCCUAGCUGUGGGCAAUCACUCCUAAUGCGGCCUGACUGACCACAAUGAAAACAUCGUACUUAUCCCCUACACGGCCCAAAAUGGUUCUUCCCACACUUCUUGCAUCUAUCAAAACCUUCAAAACUCUUCCCAGAACUAGUCAACGUAGAUUUGCUGAAUCUCGAAGGCCUCUGCUGUGUUUGUCAAAAUAGAGGUCGAGGAGAUGUCAUUGAAAUAGAGGUAGUACUCCCUAAAGCAGAUGAGUAUUUGCCCUUUUUUGGUGGCUGAUUGGAAGAUACAUUCGUAUUUCUCCUUUUUGCAAACUCAACUUGCAUUCUCCUAUUUUCAUUUGCAAGCUUCAUGGCUCAUCCGUUCUCUAGUCUCAUUGUGGAGCCCUUUCUCGAAAUAAUUAGCCUGAUCCUGCUCAUAUUUCACCAGAUCUGGCACAUAUAACAUCAACUCAUUAAAAUGAGCCUUGUACUCCUUUAACGUUAAAUUCCCCCAUUUCAAACUCAAAAAUUCUCUCUUCUUUUCUUUCUGAUGAAAAUAAGUAAAAUAUUAAUCAUCAAAUUCUUUAAAAAAGUUUAGCUAGGUCGGAAGAGUAGUGGAACGAGAUUUUACUGAAUUUCACCAUGUACGGGCUCUCUUAUCUAGUAAUCUCGUGGCAACUAUCAACUUCAGGUCAUCAUCCAACCUCAUAUCAGAUAGUGUCUCCGAAACCUGACCAAUCCAAUCUUUGGCUACUGUUGCGUCCAACUCACUCGUAAAAGAAAGACAACCAAGUUGCCUAGCCUCUUUAAGCCUUUUAGAAAUAGAGACAUCCGGCACUUGUGGUGGAACAUAAGGAGCAACUGAUGGUACUAUAAGAGGAGCCUGACCAGCCUAAGCUUGGCUAGUAAUAGCGGUAAAGAAAACUACCAAUGCUUGGACUGUCUCAGGAGACAUGGCAGGAAUAUCAGUAAGUGGCGAAGGAUGUGAAGAAUGUGGAGAAUGUGGAGGAGUCUCAGCCCGCUCAGUAGUAGGUGUUGCCUGAAUGGUGGACGCAACCGAUUCCUCCUCUACUACAUCUAGCUGACGACAUUGGGAACAACCUCUUCCCUUCCCAACCGAUCUAGUGAGAGGUGGGUGUUCUCGUCGAGGAGGCAUGAUAAUCUAUAAAAGGAAACAAGCAGGUUUAGGCAACCUUAGGCUCUAUAUGCAAAUGCAUGCAUUCUAUUCAAGCUAACCUAACUUAACUUGGGGCCACACUGACAUUGUAAAUUUUUAAAAUAACCUUAAAUCUAAAAGCUCUGAUACCACUUUAAUUGUCACGACUCGGUAUUACCUUCGAGCCAGUGACAACAGCCGCGGUGUCUCGAUAGACACUCAUUAUCCGGAAUGCCAACCGGAACCCCGCAAGGCUUUAAUGUCAGUUUCUCUUUUUCCAUGUUAGUAACCGUUGCCAAAUAUCGUGUUCUAAAAGAUUUUAAGCUAUUUCUAACUUAAAACAAUAACAAAUCAAUUUUUGUCUCACAGGGGCAUUUUUAUCAUUUUUCCUCAAAAAUUUCGAAACCAACUAAAAAUGAAGUAUGCGAGUAUAAAACACAUAAUUCAUAAUUAAAAAUAAGUUUAAACAUCUAAAACCAUCAUUUAAAAUGAAAUUAUGACUAUUUGAACAUAAUAAAAGUAUUCAAUAAAAUAUUUUAUUUUCUUAUAAAACAAUAUUUAUAGAGUUACCGGUAAAUAAUUUUUGUAGCGUAAAAGCUAAAUAAAUUCAUACAUACUGUAAUACAGAUAACCAAAAUAUAAAAUUUUAUUUACAGUGACACGUGGGCCCCUAAAUGACAAAAGUGAACGAAGGCUGUGAACCUACGAUUUUUUGAGGAAGUAAAGCCAACUGUAGCCUUCGACGAUAUCAGCUAUCUACAGCCUAUUCUGAGCCUGAAAUGGGUUGAACGGAGGGUGGUGAGAUUAUAUAAUCCCAGUGAGUAAACAAACACCAUCCAAAAUAUCUAAAGUCGAGUAAAUGGAGACGAUUAAAAUAUUCCAUCUCGAUAUGUAAUUCAUAACAUAAAUAUUCAUUUCAUUUAAAUAAUCAACAGGGCUUAUCAGUAUCUUAAAAGCUUGGCUCCUGUCAAAAUCAUUCUCGGGAAUAGCUUGGCCGAGGCAUUUAACCGAGUCCGCCAAGGCUGUUAAAAAAUUCGUAGACAUGUAAACAUAUUUUUAGUUUGAAAAACACAGCCGUUCCUUGGCGUUAGCAGAGUUCAUCAUCACGAGGUGGUUCUGCAUGACGUGAACUCUAACCAUACCUCAGGAGAUACCCUACGCGCCUUUCCGACCGAGGUACAUAUGUAAUUGGAUUUCGUGCCCCUCUAAUAGGCUGGUCCACAAAACCUACCCACUGCGGCAAGCUAAACCCACCAUACGAUAAAAAUUCAACAGCAUGACAUGGCAAUUUUAUCAUUAUCCAGCCUAUCAAGGCAAACAACAGUUUAUACAUUGUCAACACAAAUACUAAUUCAGCCAUUCAUGCCAAUAUUGCCAUAAGCCAAUCAAUUAGAACCAUAAAUUCACAAUAUAUCAAAUGGUCUCCACUUACUCUAUUUUCAAAGCCAUCAUUCAAUUUCAAGACAAUUUAUAAAAUCAUUUCAUUUAAACACAUUUUGUUUAUAAAACCUAAAAGUUAACCAUUUAAACUCAUUUUCCAUAGCAUUCACCAAAUCGAAUAAAAAGACCACUUUAGAUAAUUAAAAUGAUGAUAACGUUACUCACUAUUUUGGGAGUCAAAUUUUUAGAGUACUCCGACUAUCGAUCCUCGGGUACAAUUUCUUUGCCCUUAUCGGAGGAUUCACCACCUAGACAUAACGUACAAUCAAGCAAUUUACCACAUUGGUGCUAAACUGUUAUAAAACUAUAUGGAUGCAUGAAAUGAAAUGUAAAUUGUUUGGAUUAUCGUCUAAACACUAUGUUCUACACAAAUUCAAUUAUGCACCUAAAUAAAACGGUAUUGGCCUAAUUCAAUCUAUCACUCGAUUAAUUGGCCAAUAUGCCUAAUUCAACUCCAAUUAACUCCAUUUUUCUUCCAAUUCUCUAAACCAUCAAACACAAGUCAAAUAGCAUAAAAUUUAGCAAAAUCAUCUUCACAUUUUCUCUUGGGAAUUUCGGCCAUGGUGGGUGCAUCAACACUAUGAUUUUACCUACUUGAUUUUCUCACCGUAAUUCAUCAUUUCCUAACCAAUUCGCUUGAAAUAAAAUCAAAUCCACCAUCCACACUCUACAUGGAAAAUUCGGCCAAUGAUGGGUGAUGGGAGAAAAUGAAUUUUUCUUGUUUGUUUUUCAUGCUACACAUCACUAACUAUCUAAAAACACUAAAAUACAUUGAAAUCUAACCAAAUCAAGCAUCAAAACUCCUCCCCCCAUGUCCGGCCAGCAAGGGAUUCAUUUGAAAUCAUGUGAUUCAACCAUGUAAAAUGCAAAAGAACGUAUGGGAAAGGUAGAUCACAAGUCAAAAUUAAGAAAUUUUACUUUGAUUGCUUGAUUACUUGAAAUCCACCAAUUUCUCUUGAAUUUUCACUCUAGGUUUUUCGUUCUUCUUUUCUUCCUUUGUUCUUCCUUUGUUCUUGUUUUGGCCUGCCAUAUGAAGAGAAAUAUGCUGAUUUUAUGCUAAUUUAUAAGGAAAAUAAUAAAUGGAUGAGAAUUUGACACAUAUCACCAUUCCAUUGGUCCAUGUGUCAUUCUUACUCAUUAAGCAAUCUCUCUCCACCAUAUAAAUUUUCUCAAUUAUCCAUGAUAAUAUUGGGUAAAAUCCAUGUGUUGGACAAGUGUUGGGUGUUUAAAAUUACCAUUUUGCCUCUUUGCUCGAAAAAAUGCUGAAAUUAAAAAUUUUUACUUAUCAAACUCAAAUUAUACUCCAAAUGAUCAAUCUUAGUCAAAAAUUUCAUCCAACACUCACAUCUUAACCUCGGGUGGCAAAAUGACCAUUUUGCCCUUAGGUCAUGAAAAUUCCAAUUUGACUCCAAAUCGGUCCUCGAACUCCGAAUCACCAUUUUAAGUCAUUCUAGGGUUUUAAAAUUCUCAAUUUCAUCUUAAGAUCUCUAUUUGUACUAGUUCAAGGCUUAAUUCAACUUAGUUGCCUCACUAGGUACACUACCGACUUUUGAUGAUUUUUCGGGGCUUUCUAAGUAUGCAAGCAUUCUGUCAAUCAUGUGAAUGACAUGGCUAAUAUUUUAUAAAGUCGGACUUGACAUGUUGCUUGUUAAAUUACCAAUGUAUUUGCUUUAGAGAUUUUCACAAAUUAGUAAGGAAUUCAUGCAAGUGCAUGUGGUCAUCAACAUGUAAUUUCGUGAUAAGAAAUGUUCUCAAUCCCAAAGGAAGUUAAUUCAAAAUUUAUGCUAAGUACUAAAAUUGGAGCAAGCUAAUUUUAUCCAAGUACACAAAAUUCUUGAAAUGAUUAAAAAUAAAUCUAAGUGACUAACUAAACUAGCAAUUUCAAAUCAAAAUUGAUGAAAAAGCGGUGAUGUAAAAGCCUAGGAUUAUGGGUUCAAGUACUGUUUUAUUCGAAUGCAUGAUUGGCUAAUUACUUCAAUGGAAAUUUAUGCUAGUUUGAAUCCUCAAGCGUGUAUGACUCUCCGUCGAGUUAUCGUACAAUGUCUUAACUUAAUUAAAUCUCUCUAUGUCUAUAGUAAUUUAACUAAGCCAAGUUCUUAAGGUAAAGGUUCUAACAAUUAACUACAUAUCGCAAAUAGGUGUAUAUCUACCCUACUUGCAAAUCACCCAAUCAAUUGUCAAGUGCAAUAAACAUAUAUUACCCAAAUCAAGGUCUAUUUAGCCUAACUCUCUCAAGUAUCAUUUAAAAACCCAAACUAAUUUCAUUAAUGAUCAAGCAAUAAAACGAAAAAUAAUUCAGAUUUGAAUAAACAUCAAUGAUUCCAUAAAAAGUAUUUAAUAGCCAAGCACAAUAUCCAAACUAGAUACUAAUAUGCACCAUAACCCUAGAAAUAGAAAUCUAGCUCAACAUAUCCAUUACAAAACUCAACAUCUAAGGAAAAUAAAGCACUUUUACAAAGAAAGAUAAAGAAAAUCAAAUCUAGUGAGAGAAAGUAUUUGGUGUAGCUUUUUAAAGCUCAAUCUUCAAAGAUUUUCUCCCUUUUUUUCUCUUUUUCAAAGCUUCUUUUUCCUAAAAUGAGGUUUGCUGCAACUCUUUUUUUAAGGGUAAAAAGCCCUUUUCAUACCCUAAUAAUAACCCUGUGAUUCAUGCAACACCCCUGACCUUAAUAUCAGCCGAAUAUGUGUGAGGACUUACGAUGAUAUGUUGAAAUGGUUAAGCUAACGGCUGAGCAUAGUUGAGUGUUUAGUGUAUAUGUUUAUGAGCUUAAGGGUAUGCCUAUGUCCAUAGAGCAAUGAAAAUGAAAUAUGAGUAUUUGAGGGCUCAAAACAAUGUUGUGCAUAUGUUUGGGACAUUGAUGAUAAAGUGCAUAGUUUGGCACUUAGGAGAAUAUGAUGCUUAAGCAAAAUUAUGCUAAGUAUUGAUUUGUACAAAAUGUGACAUAGAGCAUAAUGAGAAUUUGAUUUUGUUUGAUAAGUUUAUGCUUUGAUAUUGAGCAUUUUGGAUGAAUUGAGAUGAAAAUGACAAUUAUGACACUUAGACCGCAAAAACCUUGAGGCAUGAUAUGGUGAAUUAUAUGGGUUGAAGUCUAAGUGAUAUUUUGAUAUUUGAUGAUAUAUUUGGAUGUUGUAUGUGAAGAUUUCAUGUUGCACAAAUGAUUUGAAGUGUGUUAUGAAUGAAAAUGAAUUAGGGAACUUAAAGGAAAUGAUUUUGGGGUGUUAGACUUAGAUUUUUAAAGUUUGAAAAGUUGAAAAUCUACCCACAGGGAAAAAUGUAUUGAUACAUUCCCCAAUGUAUUGAUGCAUUCUUGGCAAGAUGAACACUAUAAGGCGUACAUGGGAUUUUUUAUCGAUACAUUCAAGAAUGUAUCGAUAGAUUUGAAUAAGAAUGAACAUCUAUCAAUACAUUGUCCAAAUGAAGCAAAGAGUACCUAAGGGAAAAAGUAUUAAUAGAUUUCCCCCAUGUAUCAAUACAUUUAGGGCAGUGAGCAUUCUACUUGAUUUCUAUUGAUACGUUGCCCAAGUUGCUCAAAGGUAUCAAUACAUCACUAGGUAUUGGCAAAAAUAAAAAGUGUUUUGGGUUGUUUGCCUAUUUAUAAAUAAAAGAAAACUUUCUCUCUCUCUUUUCCCUUUACUAUUGUGAAACCUUGACCUUUAUAGACUCGUAGCUAGAAGUAGACGUGAUAUCACUAACUAGGGGUAAUUUCGUCAUUUCUUUAGUGAGCCCUUAAAAGUAAGUUUUUAAACAAUAUUAAGGCCUAAGUCGGCCUAAGGCAUAAAUGAAUGAUGAAAAUAUGGGUAAAAUGACGAAGGAAAUAAAAAUAAUGAUGAUUCCCAAGGUAGGGGCAAAAUGGUCAUUUUUCAUCUUUGGUCAAAAUUUUUAAGUUUUCGUGAACCUAAGUAUUUCUAGACUAUUAUGGACCUUGUCCUAGUGUUAAAAGUGUAAAAAGAUUGUAUCAAGGAUUGGAGGAGAACAAGCCAACUUGUUAAGGGUAUUUUCGUAAUUUAAGUGAAGUUGGAUAAGCUUGAGCUAUAAAUAUCAUCUUCCAAUAGCUUCUUCUCAUAUUUCCAGCAAGUUCUUCUUCUUAUUCUUCCUCCCAUCUCAUGUUGCUUUCAUCCUCCAUGGACCUCCAUAACUUUUCACAAGCUAACUUCAAUUUUCAUGCUUUUAUGCACUUUUGCAUAGAACCUUUGUGCUCUUUCACUCUCUCACUUUAAAACCCUUGAAAGGUCUUACUUUCAUACUUCCUCUCACUAGCUAGGUGUUUUAGAGAGAGAAAGAGGGAGCUUUUAUAAUAGCUUGGAAAAUUAUUAGAAAGAAUUUCAAAUUUACAAAGCUACCAUGGUUCCAACGAAGCCCCACUGCCCCAUUUGGACCAUUAGAGAAAGUUGGAGUUGAGUAAAGAUUUAACAAAUACCGUUGAGUGAACUUGCAUUUCAAAAUUCUUUGGGAAAUGUAAAUGCAUUUGGACGAAAAAUUUGAAUGAUUUUAUCCAACCUUUCUUUAAAAAUGUGUGCCAGGGAACAAGCCCUUGAUAAAAUGUUUUAAUGUUGUGAAAUGUGUAAAAGGAUGAAUCCAAGUGCUUGUGACAUGUGUAAAAGGAUGAAUCCAAGUGCUCUUAUAUCAUGUUGAUAUGUAUAUUAUGCAUUGGAUGUUCAUUUUUGUGUGAUAAUGAUGACCCAGCUAUGUGCAUGUGGAAGUGCAUAUGAGCUGAUGAUGACCCAGCUAUGUGAGAGUAGGGAGUGCACAUGAGCGGAGUGUGGUGGGAUGGUAUGCAUGAUGAUGUAUAUAUAUAUGUGUUAUUGAAAGUUCAUGAGUAUGGUAUAUGGUUGUAAUACAUGUGAAUCUUACAUGUUGAACCUUGGAAAUUUCUAAGCAUGUUCAAGUUGAUUUUGUCUUUGCAGCUAAAUGGCCUUUUCUUGAGAGAAUGAAAACUUUUUGUUGAUGUCCUGUUUCUCGCUGCAGCGAGAUUCAUUCUCGCUGUAACGAAAAACUCUCGGGUUUGGAGGGUUACAUUGGCCUGAUUCUCGCUGCAGCGAGAAACAUUCUAUCUUGAUUACCUUCUUGUUUGGUUGCUGCCCUAUUUUCCACUUCUUUAGCACCAUAGUUGAUCAUGGACUUCCAACAGCAAGGAAUUAAUUAAUUAAGUUUGAAAUUAGGGGUUGUAGUGAGAAACCCUCGGCCAGCUGAUAAAUUGAGCCCAAAUUUCAUUGAAGCAAAAAUUCAUUGCAGUGAGAAUGCCUUUCGACUGUAGCGAGGACCCAUCGUUUCACUUGACUUGCUUGAAUGCUAUUAAAGUUUUCACUCUUCAAAUCCUUUAUUAUGCAUGGACUUUUAUCGUCAAGUGAUUAAUUCAUUAAGGGUUAAUAGGGGGUUUUAAUAAGAAUUAAACUAAAUUGCAUUGUUUUUGAAAAUAAGUGCAUUAUGAUUUCUUAACUUCUCUUAUCGAUUGCUUGUUCCCUUCCUUGUUCACUCAUUGGGUUUAUACUCACCGUUUUCAACUUCAUGUUUUCGGAUCAAGAGGCAGUCGGUAACUAGGUCGAGGUGUCCUUGUAGACUGGUCUCCUUGGUAGGUAUCUCGACAUUCAAUAGUUGUACUUUCACCUGGGUCUCUCCGUUGGAAGUCUAGUAUCCCUUUUGUUGUGUAUAGACAAACCCAAUGUAAAUUAUUAAGGUAUAUGGUUUAGACAAUAUAUGUAUAUUUGAUUGGAAAUGCCAUUACGAGAUGGCAAUGGUUAGCAUUAUUUUGAAUUGAAAUUAUGAUAUGUAACUUUAAUAACUUAUGAUGCAAUUAUGGACAAGUUAUAUAAAUAGGCUUGCUUGGACUUAGUGGGCCAUAUCUAUUGGGCCCAUGCGCCAGAUCAUGGCCUAGGAUUUGGGUUUUGACAUCUACACCUUUCAAAACCUUAAGCCCAUAAAUGCUAUUUGGAGCUCGUUUGAGCUAGAGCUGAGCUGGAGAAAUGAUUUGGAGGUAAGAUUACACAUUUUUACUGAUUGAUUUUUUAUUUAAUUGAUUAAUGACUUCAGAUCUAAUUAUUUUCAAAUUUGGAAUAAUCCUCUCUCUUUGAGUUUGUUGAGGAUUUAGAGCUAAGAUUUGAGUAACCCAACUUCUAAGGUAAGGAUUUAAUGCUUGUAAGCUUAAGAUUCGAAACUUAGGUUAUGGUUUUAGUUAAUUUGAAAAGUUGUGAACUUUUGAAAGUUAGAAAAUAAUUUAUAUUUGAUUUGCUCAAGGGGAAAAUGGAGAUGUCGACAAGUUGGUGAGCUGACGAGCCAUUGGAGGCAAGAAAGCCCGACUUGGCUAAGAAAGCACCUUUGAACUGUCAUUUGAGUGGGGAGUUUUAUUUGAAAAAUGCAUGUGAUGCAUAACAUAUAAUAAAUGCACUACCAUGGUACAAAAUUGUUAUGUUAUGCCUAGAUGAGCAUGCCUAGGCUAAUAAAUCAUUUGAAUGCUAUUAGGAUGCAUGAGCUACUAGAUUUCUAGUUUAUUAUGUAACCUUGUUGCCUUCUUUCAAAUGUUUGAUGGCUAACGAUCCUUUGUGUAUUUGCUUGAUAGACAUAUAUGCCUAGAUGAUAAGCCUAGGCUAGUAAUUAUUUGACAUAUGCUAUUAUGUAUGUGAGCUAUGUUGUGAGCCAUAUGGUGGCACUGUUUUUGGAACUAAUCGAAUAUGGGACCUAAAUCAUGAGAUUUACCUUUGUUAAGCUAUGAGUAACUAAGUAGUAGCGAAGCUAUGUUAUAAGAACUAGGUUGCUCGAUUAUCUAUGGAAUAUGUCACGUAUUUGGAAUUGAUGAUAUUUGAAGCAUAGACUAUAGUGUUUAUCCAUGUCAUGAUAUAAACACUGAACUAUUGGUUAUGCUACAUUAAAGGGGUCAAAUUACCCAAGUGUGUAUGUGAUUAUGAUAAGUGUUUAGGGUUAAUGAUAACUGAUGAAUUGCAUAUAAUAAGGGCCUCAUUCUGAUAUGCUUGAUAUGUGCAGAUACCUACUUAAUUGAGGUUGAAUUGUUAAUGCACACAAGGCUAUUGAGCCAUGAUUAUUUGGGGUGAAUAGAUUGAAUACACUUGCGGAGUUAAAGGCAUGAUGGCCUAUAGAUUUGAUUAUGGAUUUAUAUUUCAUGUGAUGUGUGAACUCUGGACGUUGAUUUGAUUUGAGGUUGAGUGGAAUAUUUCCCCCUGUGACUAUGUGUUUGCUUGCAGGGAUGGUGGUAGAAGUCCUCGCUUCAGUGCUUUAAUGCCACCCAUCAAGAUUACUCUAGGUGAUGCCAUCCGUUGGGAGAUUACUCUAGAUGAUGACUUGUAUUUAAUGCCACCCAUUUAAGAUUACUCUCGGUGAUGUCAUCCAUUGGGAGCUUACUCCAAACGAUGACUUUGAUUCUUUGUCGUUGCUUCAGCAUGCGCGUGAUUUGAAACUCUGCUAGCGGCUUAGCCUUGAGCAUGAUUUGACUUGGCCGGUUAGCCAUCGUGUACAAUUUGACUAAGUCCAAGGGAAAAUGACUCAUUGAUUUUCUUUGAUUAUGGUGAGAUGUAUAAUGAUAUGGCAUAUAUGUUGUGAGUAUGUAAUUAUUAAUGCAAGUGAAUUGUGUUUAAUGAUUAAUUUUGAGCUUUGAGGUAAGUGAUUUUAAUAUUGAAUAUUAUGAUUGUGCUCGGCUACUAAAGUAAGCCUAUGGAGCCGAAUUGAUGAUGGCUUGAAAGGUAAGCCUUAAUUGAAACGUUUUGGUAUGGAGACAUAUAUUUGAUUAAGCACAAAUGUGAUACGCCAUUGAGAUGUGAUCACAGCAAGACAUAACAAGAUGAGAUGUACACAUAGUAUAUUAGGAUGAUCCUUGCACCUCUAAAAUGGAGAUGUUUGACAAUAGUUGUGAUAGCUUUAUGACUUGAUAUGUCUCCAUACAUAUGUAUGUAUUUAUAGGUGAUUUGUUAUGCUACAAUAGCAUCCCCCUCACUAAGUAUUAGAUACCUUACCCUUUUAUUGUACAAUGUAUAGAUAAGUGAAGCUACGAGAUUGCGUGGUUAAUUCAUCAUUCGAAUGGACAAAAUGUUAGCAUCUAGUAGGCUUCCCUUCUCGACGUGUCCACUCUGUUGAGUCUUUCUUGCUUUUGGUUUUGAAAAUGUAAACUUUGGAAUUUAUGUAGGCAUUGUAAUGCCAUGUAUUGAGUUAAGGAUUGUAUGAUACGAACUCGCUAUGAUAGCCAACGUAUGGCCUUUUGAACAUUUGAAAUUAUUGAUGUAUGAACUAUGAGCCAAAGGCAAAUAUUUAUGUAUUUGAAUUUAAAUAUUAUAUGAAUAUAUGAGUUUGGAAAUCAUUGGCAACGUGUGCAUGAUUUUGAAUUCUAAGGCUUGCUCAGGUCUCCCGGCCUUUGCCUACUUGACCUGUGCACCUAUCAUGGUUGCCUGAUUUGGGUCAUGAAAAAGUUGAUAUCAAAGCCCUAGGCUUAGAGUGUGCUAGGUCAUAUGGGGUUUGUUAAUGGAGUGUUGAGAUUAGUGUAGAGUAUUGUCUUCGAAUUGUGAUGACUGCACAAGUCAAGGGCAGGAAGCUGUAUGUAUUCCUAUGUCUUUAGUAAGCCAACCUACCUUCGAAUUCUGAGUUAUGGAUUUGAUUGGUGUUGCUCUGGUUAGGUUUAGGAUGCCACCUAGAGGGAUGAGCCACCAUAAAGAGGAAAUUAGAGCGAGAUGCUCCUAAUGAGAAGUUAAAGUAGGGAUAUAUUCUUGGGACUGGAGGCCGUAGUAGAUGAAGUAGGACUAUUACGUUUGUAAGGACCAGAUGGUUUAGUGAGCAAUAACGUUGACAUCUGAUAGUGAGUUGGAUAUUUAGAGUGACAUUAUGAUGGGUGCCUUGUGUUAAUGUUACACCCAAAACAAUUCUAAUUUGUUGCAGUGCCGGAGUUGACACAAGGAUAUGUGUCUAAUAUGAGGAAAGCACUAAGUUAUUGAAAAAUUGUUAGGAAAGGCGUACCAACGUGAAUUUUGAACCUAGUUAUCAAGGUAGCAUUUGGGGUUACCUUGGUAAGAUUUGUUUCUGAAUUUGCAACCAUGGAGAUAGGCAGUGCAAUAGAUUAGUGAAAUAUCUACCUUAUUAGCAUGAGUGACUACAUUAGAAAAUGCAUAAAGUCAAUGCAAAUAGAGGUUACGGUGUGAGUAAUGAGAGGACUUGUCACUAAACACCCUUUCAAAUUAUUAGGGACAUUGAAUAAAUAUAAAUUGACAUGUGAUUGCGAAACUUAGCACUAAGAGAUGUACAACCUAAUGUUUUAUGGGUGAUAGAUAAUUGGAGACCAUUGCCUAACAAGGCUUGUAUUGAAUAUUGUGCUGGUGGUGCGAGCUCCUUAAUAGCAAAAUAUGCCUAAAAGUGCGUUUGGCAUACUAUAAAAAUGUGGAGUAGGUACAUCCAAGUUGAUGUUUUGGAAUAUGUACUUGUCAUGACCCAAACUCAGGGGUCCGUGAUUGACAUGCACAAGCUCAGCAAGCAAGCCCAUGGGACUCAAGAAGUUGUCAUACUUAAGUCUCAUUUAAAUCAUUUCAUUCACAAAGGGCUUUAUAACAAUCAUCAUUAACACAUAACCAUCUUAAAACACCAUAUUUAAUAUUAACCUCUUGGCUCAUAAGUGCACACAAAACUUAAAAUAACAUCAUAUUUUGCCAUAUAUUGGCUAGUUCAUUAAGUCAUCCUGACUUCUUAUUACAUACAUCAGAAGGCAACAUAAUACCUUCAUAAUGAAUUAAUGACAUACAUUGUCAACAUAGUGCAAAAUCGUAGCACUUGACUAUGACUCAAUGGAGUCACUCGUCAACAUGAUAACCUACUAGUAGUCAAAAUUACAUGUUUGAUGACGACAACACUAAGGCACUCGAUCCUCAAAAUCUAUUAUCUACACAAUACAAUGGAAAGGGUAAGUCACAUAAGUACUUAGUGAGUGGAAGCAUAACUCUAAAGUAAAGUGCAAGGAUAGUGACAACACCUAUCUUCUAAACAUGUAUACAUAGUAGUAAGCUCAACGUAAACAUAGUAAGAUAGGUUAGACAUCACCUAUCAUAAACAUCCUAUCCUUUUUGUGGCAAUGGUACCUCGUUACUUUUAUAUAUAUAUAUAUAUAUAUACAUGCACACACUUUUCUAUCAUAUAACGUAUUGUAAGCUAUUUCUAUCUUGCUUGUCAUAAUCAUUACCACCAUAACUGUCUAUUGGCUUCCAUUUAUUGUAUGAACUGGCCCACUAUAUGACCAUCUACAUUCGUAUUCAAUUUACUUACCUCGCGAACAAUCUAUGUGAGCUCUAAUCCCAUAAACUCAUAAGCUUGCAUUUAAUCUUUCAUCAUAAAAGCAUACAUAUAUCCACGGCUCUUACCUCAAGCCUUUACAUUUUUCAUAAUUCAUAAACACUGGUAACAUAACAAGAAUUCACAUGUUUACAUCUUGAGGCAUGCCACUACAUAGUCAUAACAUCAUAACUUUGAGUGGUCCUCCUUGGACAUCAAAUAGUCACAUGCAGUGGCCAAUCGACGGACAACACUGUAUCAUCAUAUCACACUCCAUUGCCAAAGCAAACGGCAGAGUACAUAGUCAUCAUUCAAAGUAAUCUCAAUGGAUGGAAUCAUAGCACUAUAGGCGAGAAUCACAGAUGGGACGAAACCACCAUCCUUACUUACCAUUAUCCCUGUAGGCGAAACAUAAUAAAUGCAAAGCAGGUGAGAAUCACAAGCAGGAUGAAACCCCAUUCGUACUUACCACCAUCCUUGCCAGCAACAUAUAUAAUCAUAGGGAUAUGGACACACUCAACCUCAUAUCAUAUAUUGUCUUGAAUCAUCUACGAACAUAACAUACUUAUCAUGCCAAAUCAUAAUUGUUCAUAUAUUUAUAUAUAAUGAUGUCAUCGUUCGAAACAUCAUCCUUUGGACGGAUCAUACAUUACAUCAUACCAUGAUAACAUAUUAUCUUUUCAUAAGAUAGAAUUCAUUAUUGGCAUUUCUAUACUUAGCCUAGGUAUAUUCCUUGUAGGCACUUCACUAGUCUAGACAUAUCAUUUCUAGAUGCAUACAUCACGUGCAUAUUAAACAUAGCAUCUUUUCCUCGUAACAUGGCUCAUAUUCACAUUAUAUCAUCUAGCCUAGAUUUAAACCUUCAGGGCAUCACACAUCAUUUCAUUUGCACAUUACUCUUUUUAGCCUAGACAUAAUGCUUCUAGAUAAUUUUCAUCAUUCAUAACAUUACUCGUCUAGGAGCAUUACCUCUAGCCAUACAUAUGGUGUACACAUAAUACAUAUUGUACAUUUUAUUCUAGGAGCAUAUAUGCAUCCUAGCAUUAUGCUCAUAAUAAUAAAAUUCCAACUUCAAAUGUUCCUUUAUCAACCUUGCAGAAUUCAGCUCACUAAAGCCUCAACUACAAUCAUCAACAUUCCUAUACAUUUCCUAUAUUUCAUUAUUAAAUUCCCAACUUUUCAGCAUAACACAUUUUCUAGUAAUUUAUCAUACAAGCUCAACUUUCAUAAUUUCUUCAUCAAUGAACUAAGCUCUCACCUUAGAUAUAAUUUUGGCUUGUUCUAAGCUCAAAUUUCCAACCACUUUCAAACAUUAUCAACCACCAAAGCUGGUACAUGAAAAUUCUACAUCAUUAACUGUUUAAAUUAGAAAACAAUAGGUGAGAAGUGUCAAUUUUACCUUUAGCUUGAUUUUCUAGCAUCAAAUCAUCCUUUCCAAGCUUCAAUUUUCACUUAUGGGAUGUGGGGAUCAAAGGGCAACAAGGGGCUUUUUAUUUCCUUUUGUUUUCUAGAUGGCAUGCAUCUAUCAAUAGAUCCCUCACAAAUCUUAACAUUUACCUUUCAUUUAUCAAUAGAUUUUUCAAGUCUAUCAAUAAAUGGCACUUAUGCUUUUUUAUUUCACUUUCGUAGUGCAAUAUAUCGAUAGUUUAUGGGCAUCUCUUCAUAGAUUGUGCCCUAUUCUCUUUAUCAUUGGCCUAGGUGCUUAUCUAUCGAUAGUUCAUGUUUCCAUUCUUUUUUUUAACUUUUGAUGGCAAUCUAUCAAUACUUAUCAUGCAUCUAUCGACAAGUGUUCUUAGGCCUUUGCAUUCCUUUACAUCUUACUUACAUCUAUUAAUAGAUCAUUAUGAUACCCCAACUUCUAUAGGCUUGUAACUAAGUAUAGAUAUAAUAAUAUGAGCUAGGGGUAGUUUCGUCAUUUUCUCUAAUAAGCUUCCAGAAGAAAUUUUUAUGAUAUUUUAAGGCCUCAAUAGGCAUAAGAUAGUAUAAAUGAUGUGUGCUGAUGCAAACAUGAAGAAAACUACAAGUUUUAACAAUUUUCAUAACAAGGGCAAAAUGGUCAUUUUUCACCUUGGGUUAAAAUUUUAAGUUUUUAUGAACCCGAGCAUGUUUAGACCAUUAUGGAUAUUGUCCCAGUGUUGAAAGAGCAAAAAGAUUGCAUAAAAGAUUGGAGGAAAGUAAGUUAAUUGGUGGAGGGACAUUUUCGUAAUUUUAAAGGAAAGGAUAAGAUGGUCUAUAAAUAUCUUGAAAGUUCCAGCACCUUCUUGAAUUUCCAGCAGUUGGUCUUCUUCUUCCCUUCUCCUCUCUCACGUUUCUUCAAAACUCCAUGGAAGCUUGAUUUGAAGCUUGAGUGAUUUUCUCUCUCUAGCUCUAGUUUUCACACCUUUGAACCAUUUUGACUAGAACCUUUGAAUUCUUCCAUCCUCUCACUUUAAAACCCUUCAAAAAUCUGGUUUUCACACUUUCUCUCACUAGCUGGACAUUUUAGAGAGGAAAAAGAGAAUUACACCAUUUAUUUGGAAGCAAUUGGAAGGGAAUUUGACUACAAAAGAGCCCUAGGGUAAGUGGUUAACUAAGCUCAAUUUUUAGCUACAGAAAAUGGUUAGUAAUUGGGAUUUAUGAGCUGUUUUAUUGUUUGGUAUGUUCAUUACUUUUUAGUGAUUAAGAUAGUGAACAUAGAUAGCCAUUUAAAGUGGCAAUUGAAAACUAGCUAAGAGAUAACUUUUAGAGUUCAUAGUGUGUAAAUUAAUCUAUUGUUGAUGUUAAUGUGAUCCUAGGUUUUUAAGGAAGCACCAUCAUUCCAAUUGGAUCAUUAGGGGAACUUUAGUCAAUUAAAAGUUCUACAAUCAAUUGGUGAGUGGACUACCUUCAAAAUUGAUUUUGGGAAUAUGAUGGAUUUGACAAAGUGUUUGAAUGAUCUUAUACAAUUUUUCAUGAAAAUGAAUGCCUUGGGAACAAGCUUUUGAGAAAAAGUUUAUGUUAUGAAAUGUGAUUAUUAUGGAUUUCUAUGUGGCUGCAUUAUGUUGAUAUACAUUUAUGCUUGAGUAUAAUGUUGUGUAAUUAUAUUGACUCGNNNNNNNNNNNNNNNNNNNNNNNNNNNNNNNNNNNNNNNNNNNNNNNNNNNNNNNNNNNNNNNNNNNNNNNNNNNNNNNNNNNNNNNNNNNNNNNNNNNNNNNNNNNNNNNNNNNNNNNNNNNNNNNNNNNNNNNNNNNNNNNNNNNNNNNNNNNNNNNNNNNNNUAUAUAUAUAUAUAUAUAUAUAUAUGUAAAUAUGUGUGUUAUAGGAAAUUGAUGGAUAAUGGGUUAUGGUUGUAAUGCAUGUGAAACUUGACAUCUUAAACCUUGAUAAAUUGUUAUGUGUUUUCAUGUUAGUUUGGACCUUUUGGUAGGGUGGUUUUUCCUUUGCGAGAAAGGUAAAUUUUGCAUUGAUGCCUAGUAUUUCACUGCAGCGAGAAUGAUUUUUACUGUAGCGAGAAACUCUCGGAUUUGGAGGGGUACACUGGUCGAAAACUCGCUGCAGCGAGGAUGCAUUUUCGCUGCAGCGAGAAUGAAACUGUAGCUUCUCGCUGCAGCUAGAAACUUUCUAUUUUCUGGGUUUCAAUUUCGCUGCAGCGAGAAACAUUCUGUUUCUAGGUAGAAAUUUCGCUGCAACGAGAUUCAAUUUCGCUGCAGCGAAAAACUUUCUGUUUUGAUCUCUUAUCUUGUCCAAUUGCUGCCCUAUCUUUCACUUCUUUGCUACCAUAUGGGAGCAUGGACUUCCAACAUUAAGGAUUAAAAGAGUUAAGUUUAAAAUGAAGAGGUUUAGUGAGAAACCCUCGGUCAGUUGAGGAACCCUCAUUCUGUUAAUAACUAAAUCCCAACGUCGCUGUAAUGAAAAUUCAUUCUCGCUGCAGUGAGAAUGCCUUUCCGCUGUAGCGAAGAUUCGUUGUCGUAUUUGACUUGCUUGUGUACUAUUGAAGUUUUCAUUCUUUAAAUGGUUCGUUAUGUACGGGUUAAUGAUUUUCAAAUGAUUAAUCAUUUAAAGACUUGAUGAGGGGUUUUUAAUAAGAAUAGAAACAAAUUGCAUUGUUUUGAAAAAGAAUGCAUCAUGAUUUCAUUAAAGAUUCCUUAUGGUAUGCUUGUUCCCUUCCUUGUUCACUCACUGGGUUUAUACUAACCAUUUCAAAUUCAUGUUUCAGAUCAUGAGGCAGCUGGUAACUAGGACGAGGUAUCCUUGUAGACUUAUGUCCAUCUUUUGGUAGGUGUCUCGGCAUCCAGUAGCUGUACAUUCAUCCGAGUCCCUCCGCUGAAAGUCAAGUGUUCUUUUUGAGAUGUAUAGGUGAACCUAAUGUACAUUAUGGGAAUACAUGUUGUAGACAAUGUAUAUAUAUAAUAAAUGAGAAAUGCCAAUACGAGUUGGCAAUGUCUAUUACUAUUUUGAUUUUUAAGUUUUGAAAAAUGACUUAGGAGUUUAUGAUGGAAUGAUGAACACGUCGGACUAUUAGGCUUGCUUGGGCUUAGUGGACUACGUCCAUUGGGCCCAUGCACCGGUCAUGGCAUGAAAUUUGGGUCGUGACAAAGUUGGUAUCAGAGCUCUAGGUUUGUUUAGGUCCUAGAACUUCCUUUUGUUAGUCUAGUGGAGAGUCGAGUCUUUAUGUGGGAACUCUAGUUGUGAAGUGUGAACCGUGGCACAUUUUACAACCACGUGACCGUAUAGAUUCCCUAUCGUAGAAACUACCUUUUGCCUUAAGUAUGAUUAUGAAAUGUGUUUAAUAACAGGUGUUUGCUCUUGUUUAGGUAAGAAUGCCGCCUAAGACACGAGCCACCUCAAGACGGAUAGGGGAGCAAGAUGCUUCUAUUGAUAUGGCAGAUAGGCCACGGGCAUCCACCCGGAGGGGCUGAGGUAGACGUGGCAAGGCCACUAGGCCGGUGAGAGCGGAUACGCCUGUGAGUAGGCGAGGUGAGGGACAGUCCUCAAGUGAUGUAGAUAGACACCCAACAAGGGGUAUUACUAUCGAGGAUUUAGCAGCAGGCCUACAGGGAGUCAAUCAUGUUGUAGAGAUGAUGGCAACCCGUAUGGAGGAUAUACAGAGGGUAGUAGAUGGGAGACCUACAGUACAGGAAUCUCCUAGCUCUCAAGGACAGGUCGAUCGCCAACAUCAUGAGGUCGAGAGGGGACAUCUAGAUAUUUCUCUUCCUGAUUUUCUUAAGCUCAAGCCUCCAUCAUUUUUAGGGUCUGAUGCAUCAGAGAAACCCCAGGUUUUCUUGGAUAAGAUGGAGAAAAUAUGUAAAGCCUUGGGAUGCUUCAAUGUUUGGUCAGUUGAGUUAGCCACUUUUCGAUUAGAGGAUGUGGCGCAGGAAUGGUAUAGCUCCUUAUGUAGAGGCAGACUGACAGAUGCAACGCCAUUGGUUUGGAGUGAGUUUAGUGCAGCCUUUUUGGAUCGAUUCCUACUUAGUGUACGUAAUGCCAGAGCUAGAGAGUUUGAGACUUUCGUACUGACUUCGAGUAAGACGGUGUCGGAGUAUGACAUCAAGUUCACACAGUUGUCUCGGUAUGCUCCCUACCUCGUUUCUACUGAGGAGAUGACGAUUCAGAGGUUUGUGGAUGGGUUAAUAGAGCCACUAUUUAGGGCUGUAGCAUCUCGAGAUUUCAUUACCUAUUCCGCAGUAGUAGAUUGUGCUCAGCGCAUUAAGAUGAGGACCAGUGAGAGUAGGGCUGCGAGGGAUAGAGAAAAGAGGGCUAGGAUAGAGGGUUAUCAGGGCUGUAGAGAUUUCAACAGUGGUGGUUCGUUUUCCAGCCGUCAGGGUCCAAAGAGGGACUCACGAUUACUUCAGCAGGGGAGUGACACGCCUGGUGCUAAUAUUAGGAUGGGACAAAGAACCUUCAGGUCUAAGAGGCAGUAAGAUUCUAGACAGAGUAGUCAAGUCACCCAACCUUGUGAUACUUGUGGGAGACGACAUAGUGGACAAUGCUUCCUUACCACAAGAACUUGUUUCUGGUGCUGUCAACCUGAGCAUAUUAGGAGGGAUUGUCCGAGGGCUCAGUAAUUACAAGAUUCUACUCGUGGUUCCACCCAGCCAGCUUCGUCUGCUCUUUCAGUUGCUACCUCAUCUGGACAGAAGGCUAGUGGAUCGAGAGGUAGAGGUGUUGGUACUUCCUCUCAGGGCAGGCCAUCGAGGUCUGAACUUUAGAGUUCUGUUGGUAGAGGCCAGGCGAGGGUGUUUGCUUUAACACAGCAGGAAGCUCAGACAUCCAAUGUCGUGGUCUCAGGUAUUCUCUCCGUUUAUAAUAUGAAUGCUCAGGUACUAUUUGAUCCUGGUGCUACCCAUUCUUUUAUCUCUCCAUGUUUUGCAUCUCGGUUGGGUAGAGAUCGUGUUAGGAGAGAGGAACAAUUAGUGGUGUCUACUCUUUUAAAGGAGAUAUUUGUGGCCGACUGGGAAUAUGAGUCUUGUGUAGUACGAGUCAAAGACGAGGACAGUUUGGUGAAUUUGGUGGUGUUAGACACCUUAGACUUUGAUGUGAUCUUGGGGAUGGAUUGGUUAUCACCCUGUCAUGCUAGUGUGGACUGUUAUCAUAUAUUGGUUAGAUUUGAUUUCCUCGGUGAACCAUCAUUUGGUAUUCAGGGGGAGCGGACUAAUGCUCCAACCAAUUUGAUAUCAGUCAUUUCUGCCAGAAGAUUAUUACGACAGGGUUGUAUAGGUUACUUGGCAGUUGUAAAGGAUACUCAAGCAAAGAUUGGAGAUGUAAGUCAAGUGUCGGCGGUGAAGGAGUUCGUGGAUGUAUUUCCUGAAGAGCUACCAGGUUUGCCUCCAGAAUGGGAUAUUAAGUUUUGCAUAGAUUUGAUUCCCGACACUAGACCUAUAUCCAUACCCCCAUAUAGAAUGGCACCUGCAGAGCUUAAAGAGCUUAAGGAUCAGUUGGAGGAUUUGUUGGAUAAAGGUUUCAUCUGACCUAGUGUAUCCCCAUGGGGAGCACCGGUGUUAUUUGUGAAUAAGAAAGAUGGAUCACUUAGGCUGUGCAUUGAUUAUCGACAACUUAAUAAAGUGACGGUGAAGAAUAAGUAUCCCCUCCCAAUGAUGGAUGACUUAUUUGAUCAACUACAAGGAGCACAAUGUUUCUCUAAGAUAAAUUUGCGAUCUGGGUACCAUCAAUUGAGGAUCCGAAAUGAAGAUGUACCAAAGAUCGCAUUUUGAACACGAUAUGGGCACUAUGAGUUCUUGGUGAUCUCAUUUGGGCUCACGAAUGCUCUUGCAGCCUUUAUGGAUUUGAUGAAUCGAGUGUUCAAGCCUUAUUUGGAUAAGUUCGUGGUGGUGUUUAUUGAUGACAUCUUGAUAUAUUUGAAGAGCCUAGAGGAGCAUGAGCAGCAUCUUAAGAUAGUGCUCCAAAUUUUGAGAGAACAUCAAUUGUAUCCCAAGUUCUCCAAGUGUGAGUUUUAGCUCGAAAGUGUUGCAUUUUUGGGGCAUGUGGUAUCUAAGGAUGGGGUACAAGUAGAUUCAAAGAAAGUUGAAGCAGUGGAAAAAUGGCCAAGGCCAUUAUUAGUUACACAGAUUAAAAGCUUUGUGGGUUUGGCUGGCUAUUAUCAUCGCUUUGUAAAGAACUUCUCUAAAAUAGUCGCCCCUCUGACUAAGCUGACACGUAAGGAUACAAAAUUUGAGUGGUCUGAUGCUUGUGAGGAUAGCUUUGAGAAGCUUAAGGCAUGUCUCACUACAACUCCAAUAUUAAGCGUACCUCAAGGCACGGGGGGUUAUACGGUAUUCUAUGAUGCAUCGCGGGUUGGUUUAAGGUGUGUAUUAAUGCAGCAUGGGAAGGUGAUUGCGUAUGCAUCCAGGCAACUUAAAAGGCAUGAGCAGAAUUAUCCCGCACACGAUUUGGAAAUAGUAGCAAUCGUGUUUGCCUUGAAAAUUUGUACAUUAUUUGUAUGGUGAGACUUGCGAGAUAUAUACGGACCACAAAAGUUUGAAGUAUAUAUUUCAGCAGAGGGAUCUUAACUUACGGCAACGUAGAUGGAUGGAGUUGCUAAAAGAUUAUGAUUGUACUAUUCUUUACCAUCUUGGUAAGGCUAAUGUAGUGGCGGAUGCCUUAAGUCAAAAAUCAGUGGGAAGCUUGGCACAUAUUUCUACUGAUAGGAGAUCAUUGGUUAGAGAGAUCCAUAGCUUGGGAGACAUAAGUGUGCAUUUGGAAGUUACGGAGACAGAUGCUUUGCUAGCACAUUUUAGAGUGAGGCCUAUCUUAAUGGACCGAAUCAAAGAAGCACAAAGUAAAGAUGAUUUUGUAGUUAAAGCCUUAGAGGAUCCUCAAGGAAGGAAAAGAAAAAUGUUUACCAAAAGCAUAGAUGGAGUGUUGAGGUAUGGAACAAGACUUUAUGUGCCUGAUGGUGACAGGUUGAGGAGAGAAAUAUUGGAGGAAGCUCACAUGGCAGCUUAUGUGGUACAUCUAGGGGCUACAAAGAUGUAUCAAGAUUUGAAAGAGGUGUAUUGGUGGGAAAGACUUAAGAGAGAUGUAGCUGAGUUUGUCUCCAAGUGCCUGGUUUGUCAGCAGGUUAAGGCUGAGCAUCAAAAGCCUGCAGGGCUACUAUAACCAUUACCAGUGCCUGAGUGGAAGUGGGAGCAUAUUGCCAUGGAUUUUGUAACGGGUUUGCCUCAAACUAGUGGGGGAUAUCAUUCAAUUUGGAUCAUAGUAGAUCGGUUAACGAAGUCAACCCAUUUUCUUCCGGUUAAGACUACUUACGGGGUUGCCCAAUACGCUUGAGUUUAUGUGGAUGAGAUAGUACGACUACAUGGUAUUUUUAUUUCUAUAGUAUCUAACAGAAGAGCUCAGUUUACUUGUAGGUUUUGGGGAAAGUUGCAGGAAGCAUUAGGCACUAAGUUGGAUUUCAGCACAGCUUUCCACCCUCAGACUGAUGGACAGUCUGAACGGAUAAUACAGACAUUGAAGGAUAUGUUAAGGGCUUGUGUGAUAGACCUUGGGGUAAGGUGGGAUCAAUAUCUACCCUUAGUGGAAUUUGCCUACAACAAUAGUUUCCAAACUAGCAUCCAAAUGGCACCAUUUGAGGCAUUGAAUGGAUGAAGAUGUAGGUCACCCAUUGGAUGACUAGAGGUGGGAGAAAGGAAACUUUUGGGGCUUAAGUUGGUGCAGGAUGCCACUGAGAAAAUACGCAUGAUUCGUUAGAGGAUGUUAACAGCACAAAGUAGACAGAAAUCAUAUGCUGAUAACCGACGGAGAGACUUGGAGUUCCAAGUAGGAGAUCAUGUAUUUUUGAAAGCUUCGCCAACUAAAGGAGUAAUGAGGUUUGGCAAGAAAGGGAAGUUAAGUCCUCGGUAUAUAGGACCCUUCGAGAUUUUAGAAAGGGUUGAAGCAGUGGCAUAUCGUUUGGCAUUACCGCCAGACCUUUCGAAUAUUCAUCCCGUGUUUCAUGUGUCCAUGCUUAGGAAGUACAACCCAGAUCCAUCACAUGUAAUACGGUAUGAAACCAUUCAUUUGCAAGAUGAUCUAACCUAUGAGGAGCAACCGAUAGCUAUCUUUGAUAGGCAAGUUAAAAAGCUCCGUUCAAAGGAAGAAGCAUCAGUGAAAGUGUUGUGGCAGAAUCACACUAGCGAGGAGGUAACGUGGGAAGCCGAGGAGGAGAUGCGAACAAAGUAUCCCCAUCUCUUUGAUACUUAGAGGUAUGUUACCUUAUAGUGAAUUUAAAUUCGGGGACCAAAUUUCUUUAAGUGGGGGAGAAUGUGAUACCCCAACUUCUAUAGGCUUGUAACUAAGUAUAGAUGUAAUAAUAUGAGCUAAGGGUAGUUUCAUUAUUUUCUCUAAUAAGCUUCCAGAAAAAAGUUUUAUGAUAUUUUAAGGCCUAAAUAGGCAUAAGACAGUAUGAAUGAUGUGUGCUGAUGAAAACACGAAGAAAACUAGAAGUUUCAACAAUUUUCAUAACAGGGGCAAAAUGGUCAUUUUUCAGCUCGGGUUAAAAUUUUAAGUUUUUAUGAACUCGAGCAUGUUUAGACAAUUAUGGAUAUUGUCCCAGUGUUAAAAGAGCAAAAAGAUUGCAUAAAAGAUUGGAGGACAGUAAGUUAAUUGGUGGAGGGGCAUUUUCAUAAUUUUAAAGAAAAGGAUAAGAUGGCCUAUAAAUAUCUUGAAAUUUCCAGCACCUUCUUGAAUUUCCAGCAGUUGGUCUUCUUCUUCCCUUCUCCUCUUUCACGUUUCUUCAAAACUCCAUGGAAGCUUGAUUUGAAGCUUGAGCGAUUUUCUCUCUCUAGCUCUAGUUUUCACACCUUUGAACCAUUUUGACUAGAACCUUUGAAUUCUUUCAUCCUCUCACUUUAAAACCCUUCAAAAAUCUAGUUUUCACACUUUCUCUCACUAGUUGGACGUUCUAGAGAAAGAAAAAGAGAAUUACACCAUUUAUUUGGAAGCAAUUGGAAGGGAAUUUGACUACAAAGGAGCCCUAGGGUAAGUGGUUAACUAAGCUCAAUUUUUAGNNNNNNNNNNNNNNNNNNNNNNNNNNNNNNNNNNNNNNNNNNNNNNNNNNNNNNNNNNNNNNNNNNNNNNNNNNNNNNNNNNNNNNNNNNNNNNNNNNNNNNNNNNNNNNNNNNNNNNNNNNNNNNNNNNNNNNNNNNNNNNNNNNNNNNNNNNNNNNNNNNNNNNNNNNNNNNNNNNNNNNNNNNNNNNNNNNNNNNNNNNNNNNNNNNNNNNNNNNNNNNNNNNNNNNNNNNNNNNNNNNNNNNNNNNNNNNNNNNNNNNNNNNNNNNNNNNNNNNNNNNNNNNNNNNNNNNNNNNNNNNNNNNNNNNNNNNNNNNNNNNNNNNNNNNNNNNNNNNNNNNNNNNNNNNNNNNNNNNNNNNNNNNNNNNNNNNNNNNNNNNNNNNNNNNNNNNNNNNNNNNNNNNNNNNNNNNNNNNNNNNNNNNNNNNNNNNNNNNNNNNNNNNNNNNNNNNNNNNNNNNNNNNNNNNNNNNNNNNNNNNNNNNNNNNNNNNNNNNNNNNNNNNNNNNNNNNNNNNNNNNNNNNNNNNNNNNNNNNNNNNNNNNNNNNNNNNNNNNNNNNNNNNNNNNNNNNNNNNNNNNNNNNNNNNNNNNNNNNNNNNNNNNNNNNNNNNNNNNNNNNNNNNNNNNNNNNNNNNNNNNNNNNNNNNNNNNNNNNNNNNNNNNNNNNNNNNNNNNNNNNNNNNNNNNNNNNNNNNNNNNNNNNNNNNNNNNNNNNNNNNNNNNNNNNNNNNNNNNNNNNNNNNNNNNNNNNNNNNNNNNNNNNNNNNNNNNNNNNNNNNNNNNNNNNNNNNNNNNNNNNNNNNNNNNNNNNNNNNNNNNNNNNNNNNNNNNNNNNNNNNNNNNNNNNNNNNNNNNNNNNNNNNNNNNNNNNNNNNNNNNNNNNNNNNNNNNNNNNNNNNNNNNNNNNNNNNNNNNNNNNNNNNNNNNNNNNNNNNNNNNNNNNNNNNNNNNNNNNNNNNNNNNNNNNNNNNNNNNNNNNNNNNNNNNNNNNNNNNNNNNNNNNNNNNNNNNNNNNNNNNNNNNNNNNNNNNNNNNNNNNNNNNNNNNNNNNNNNNNNNNNNNNNNNNNNNNNNNNNNNNNNNNNNNNNNNNNNNNNNNNNNNNNNNNNNNNNNNNNNNNNNNNNNNNNNNNNNNNNNNNNNNNNNNNNNNNNNNNNNNNNNNNNNNNNNNNNNNNNNNNNNNNNNNNNNNNNNNNNNNNNNNNNNNNNNNNNNNNNNNNNNNNNNNNNNNNNNNNNNNNNNNNNNNNNNNNNNNNNNNNNNNNNNNNNNNNNNNNNNNNNNNNNNNNNNNNNNNNNNNNNNNNNNNNNNNNNNNNNNNNNNNNNNNNNNNNNNNNNNNNNNNNNNNNNNNNNNNNNNNNNNNNNNNNNNNNNNNNNNNNNNNNNNNNNNNNNNNNNNNNNNNNNNNNNNNNNNNNNNNNNNNNNNNNNNNNNNNNNNNNNNNNNNNNNNNNNNNNNNNNNNNNNGCUUGCUCCCUUCCUUGUUCACUCACUGGGUUUAUACUCACCAUUUCAAAAUUCAUGUUUCAGAUCACGAGGUAGCUGGUAACUAGG